CAACUUGCGAGCUGACCAGGAACUAAAUUGAUGCACCGUUGAUCCGCUAGAUAUGGUUGGAUGCUGGUGGUGAGCUGCUGAACCCAACGAAUACACUCUGAAGUCGGAUGGGGUGACGGAUUAGGGUGCCCCUCUAGCAGGGGAGAGCAGGGACUGCCCAGGAAAGGGGCCGCUGACGAAGUUAACCACCCUGUAACAACAUACAUACAUUCCCGCAUUGAAAGUGCAAUAUCUUGAGCUAGCAGGGAGUGCAGUGAGGCGGAAUCCGCUUAUACCGGUACUCGGUCGUGCAUGUGUUUUGUGUCCGUCGCAUUGUCCCCUUCCCCUGUCCCUGAUCGGCAGAUGCACGAGGGGUUGAGCCUAUUUUAACAGCUUCUCUGAAGCUGACACCCUACCUGUUCCACACCAGCAUCAUGCUGUCAUCAUCACAGGGAAGCAUGUCAGGCACACUGUGAGCCAAGCGCUAACCCAUAUGCCACAAAAUGUAAUAGUUGACAUGAUUAGGCGCGGCAGUGGUUUCAGGCAUUGGUUGCACUGAGCGGAACUGAGCGGGACUGACAGUUACUGAGGGUUUCUCAGAAAUUCCGAAUGGUCAGGCCAUUGUGAAUGCACGAGCCCAAUUCGUCCCCUCCCCUCGCCUACAACCUCUUAUGUUUAUGGUCUUCAAUACUAUUAGUUAUUGACCGAAGCAAAGGAAAGCUGCAGUCUGUCCCCUCCUCCUAGCCGCCCGCCCGCCCGUGGGGGCCCCCUCACAGACAUGCACACGCAUGCUCACCCACCUUGUGCUGCAGUGUUGUUUUGGCACGUCGCGCCAGCAGCUCCCUGACCACCAUGUCGAACCCCUUGGCAGCCGCAAGGUGGAGCGCAGUCUGGCCCUCCUGCGUGCGGGUGGCCCCUCGGCAGGGGCAGGGGGAUGGGGUGGGGGGAAAGACGAAGGAAUGAACUUCCCUGUGGCAGAGCCGCCUGCCAUGUGGGCACUAUCCUAACACCCGUAGAGGAACUCCUAGGAAACCUCAGAUAAGCAUCAAGUGUCCUUAAGUCCUACUAUAGCUCAGCUCCUGGAUCACAGCGCAGGGCCAGGUGAAGAGUGUUGGCAUGCCGUUUCGAGGGGGCACCGGGGAGUGAGCGGGGAGAGCGCGAGGCAGGGGCUGGACACGUGACCAUAUGGAAGGAUUUUGCCGUGCCGCAUUUCCUACAAAUUCAACGUGUUGUAUUGACUUCCUUCAGGAGCCCACUUGUCUCGACACCGACCAAUCCGUGACAUUGGAAGCAUGAAAAGCCAUGCACCCCUGCACGGACUCCCGAAGACGGUGUGAAGCCUCCCUGGAGUCCACCAACGGAAUCACCCAGCGUGAGGCUUUCCCGACCUGCGACCUGAGUUCAGCUAAAAUUAUUUAUUCAAUCAAUCCGUUUGCCUGCGAUGUAUGGAGCUUUUAAAAUUGCAAAGAAUGAUCAAGCAGAACCGCUGUUCCUGAUCAGCGAAUGUAAAGCUAUUGAUUGAAAUUACUGUUGCAGCGAGAAGCGUCGUGCUGGGUGAUUCCGUUGGCGGACUCCAGGGAGGCUUCGCACCGUCUCCGGGAGUCCGCACGGGGGUGCGCCAUGCACCCGCGCGGGGGUGCACCAUGCACCCGCACGGGGGUGCGCCAUGCACCCGCGCAGGGGUGCGCCAUGCACCCGCACGGGGGUGCGCCAUGCACCCGCGGGGGUGCACCAUACAUAUUGAUCCCGAUGUGCACUUGUCUCGACGCCGACCAAUCCAGGACAUUGGAAGCGUGAAGAGCCAUACAUACAACGACCAUACUUCAAAAAUAGCUAGCCUGCACCUGCUAUUUCUGUCAACGCAUUGUGCUGAAACGUCUUUGCGCCUCACCCACGCGCAUGCUACUAGAAAGCAAUAUUCAAUAGCCUUGAUAUCGUGCUCUGCGUUGCGCCUAUCCUGGAGCUCCGGCAAGGUCGGGAAUGGUAUCCAGGAUGGCAGCUGAGGACACCGUUCGAAGAGUGGUCAGCAGCCCAGAACGAGGAGACCUGCUGUUCUUCAUCGGGGAGCAAACUGAUGACCAACUGAGCCAGUGGAGGAUCCUGGACACAGACGGCGAUUCAGCAAUUGUCACCUUCGUGAGGCGGAAGGCCCAAGGCGCGUUGCUGGGAUGAAGAGUCCUCAGUUUGGUACACAUUGGGACAUGUGGAGCUACCGUGAAGAGUGCGGCAGAGUAGGCUGGCCAUCACCAGGAUCUACCUCUGCCGCUGUGGGCACUGCUGCGCAGGUCCCAAUGGCAACUGAUUGACCGUCUGACCGAUGAAUAUUCUCAAAGCAUGUUGGGUUUCUUUGUUCUUGACCUUGAAGCUGAAAUCCGUUGUGCUACCCUCCCCCUGCAGGCUCACUGCUGGCUGCUGCUGGUGAGCAUUAUCACGAGGCUGUAUGGUGGGCUUUGGCACACUGUUUGUUGGUAACCAGCAGUAGAGUGGGGCAUCACGCAUCGGGGGGGGUUGUUAGUUGGUCGGAGCUGAGGGGCAGGGUUCGACACUGACCUUCCUGAAACUUGCAGGCUCCCCUGUACCUCCCAAAUUUUCCUUACGGAGGGGCCCCCGUACCAGGCUCCUGUACUGGCCGAAAACCUUACGGGGCCCCCCUAACCCCCGCAAAACCUUUACGGGGGCACUGUCCUUGGCUGAAACGCUGUGGGAAGUGACACUUUGCAUUUUUUUGCCCUGUAAAUCGUUAUUAUCGUUAUUUCCUCGUGAACCAUUACACUCGGGGACACGGCACACUCAGCGAAAGCCAAGCGCCUUGGCCGCCGCGGCCGCCCAUCCCUUCUGCUCCUCUUUCUCGUCCUCCUCAUCCUCAUCAAAAUCCUCAUCCACGCACGACUCAUCGGUAUCUCGUUCUACGUCGGUCUCGUAGUCACUGUCACUAAAAGCCUCAUCAUCACUAGCGGGGUAUGUUGCUUGUACCAGUACUUCAAUCUCUGGGUCAGUCACAACCUCCUCAUUAUCAUCCUCUCCGUAUGGAUUCAAAUUAAUUUUGCUAACGUCAGAAAACACCGGGGUCCUGGUGAAGCAGCUGACCGCGUACUAAAGUAUAGAUAGAUAGAUAGUAUAGAUGCGGAAGAUGCCGAAGUAUGUCGGUGAAACAUGAUGUGGCAGGAGUGGAGAGAAUAGUGCAGCGAUAUAUUGUGAGUGUAGUUGAAGGGUUACAAGGCGUUCAGCGCACGGGCGAAUUUACGUGCAUACCUUUCAUCGUGGGCGCGUCCAGUUGCAAGCUAAGCAACGCGUAUACAUGACGUGUAGCAUCAGUCCUCAGUUCACUUCUUGUAACGAACAUCAGCAUAGGUCCAAGCCCUCUCGCUUGGAGGGAUAUGCAAACAAACAUCAUGAUAGGUAAACUCGUACGCUACCGAGCAUUCAACCGAGCAUGCUACGAGCAGUCCUUGUAAGGAGCAGCAUAUCACCCAAAACGCUGGUGUCGGUAUCGGCUGUUCCAAAAAGCUGUUCCAAGCCAUCAUGGCCUCGGUGCGGGGAGCACGGCUGGAGCCGGUGAGUUGGUUGUGCUAGCCCAGGCUUGACCUGACCUAAGACUCCGGCUCUAGUGUCCCGCGGCGGUGUAGUACGGAAGUGUUUGAGCUAUCGAGAACAGCGCUGCUGCUGGUGAUCAUUUCAAGAGGCUGUAGGGUGAGCAACGGCACAUUUGUAGUUCUGAGUUCGGAGCACACCAGCCCCAUGUGAACCAUUCCGGCAUGUUGCGAUUGAAUCCCCGAUUGUGCAACCACCGCCUCUGUCUCUUCAGGAUACAGCUUGAUGUGCAAUAAUCCUGACCUGCAUACAUGUGACGUUCUCGUCAUGCAGGCGCGGCGGCAGGGCCAGGCCCCGGGAGCACUGCAGCUGACGGUGAGACCCCAUCUGCAUUGCAGGGCCUCUAGGCCUGGCGCUCGUGGGAAGGGAACCGAUCCUCAGGGGGAACGAUUGGGGUUUGGCUGAACGCUUAUGGCAUUAAGACGGGUGAGGCCGCUACGGAAGCAAGAAAAGAAGCGGGCCUUUGUCGGGGGUGUGGAGGCCGUUGCUGGGGGUGCUGGCCUCUAUAUCGGAAGGGCAGCAGUGAGGCCGUCUCGCGGUAGGGUGGGUGGGUCGUUGCUGGGGGCUGCGGGGUGAGCUGGUUGCGCCCACUCGUGUUGGGUGCGUGCUGGGAGCUGUAAGAGGCGGCAAGGGGCAGCUGGCGGGUGGUGGGCCUGGCCCCAGCACCCGCCCAACACCCGCCCCAGGGGAGCUCGCAUAGAGCGCGCCAGCUGUAGGCAGGUUGGGGUGGGUAGGCGGGGCGCUCGCUUGGGCAUGGCACGGUGGGUGCAUGGGCUGCGGUGCGGGCCUGGGCCCCGGCGCCUAUGCUGUACUGCAAGUCAGCUGGAAGUUGUUCUGUCCGUCCCUUUCUGCUGCUGCUCUGUACCCGUUCGUUCCCGCGUUGGUUGUGUUAAUAAGAUCCUGCAUGCAUUUCAACUGGGCGACUGGCCGUACUUACUGACAAGUCCAGCUGCCAAGUUGGCUGGAUCACGUGGUGCUAGCGAGGAGGGGCUAAGGGCUUGGAGUCAGUUCUGCCGUUCCUAGUUUCAAAGGUGCUCUUGUGGCGUGACGGCUCCACUGCAAUGCACAGCAAGUCGGAGAAAGACCGCAAGACAUCUGCGCUGAAGUCACAGCUGCAGUGUGCGGGGGUGAAGGGCUGCCAGCUCCUGGGGGAAGGCAUCCCCCCAAACUGUGUCAGCCUUGCGCACCUGUGCAAGCUGUCUUGGGCGGAUGGCACGUGCCACCUGCUGGGCUUGUCCAAGGAGGACGUCUCAUCACCGUGCAACACGCUGCUGCUGUCCAAGGUACAGACACUCGCGCUUGCAUUGUCCUCAUCCUACAUGAAUGCAAGCGCUGUAGCUCGGGCAUGGGCACGUGCGUAUGGCAUGCAGAGGCGGUUCUCUUGGCCUUGACGCAGUAUGCCAUCUAGCCUGUGGCGGCUGGCGCUGCCUGUGUUCUUGCAGCAGUGUGACCCGCCACAUCACGUGUUUCCCUGCAGCCCAUCGAGCGUGCCUACAACAACUCGGCUGUUUGCUUCUACGAGGACCCGGCAGACAAGAAGCUCAAGCUACACAUCCUGUGGGACGAGCUCAAGUCACAGAAGCUCGCCGACUGCCAGUGGCUGGGAGGGCCCAAGGGCAAGGGCUAUGCUGAGUUGACCAAUGCAUUCGGCGACACAACAUACGGCGACCUGGAGGCGCGGCCCCUACAAUACUACAGCAGCACGGUGGUCCCCUUUCGCCGCAUGCUCAGCACCCAUGCGCAGCUGAGCCUCGACCGGGCACAGCGGGACGGCAAGAUGGCCGGGAGCUGGACCUUCCAGGACUAUCACUCCAUAGAAAACGUCCUCACCUGGCUUCAAACUGCAGAGCUGCAGGAGCCGCCCAUCGCAGGCAGCAUGUCGGAGUUGUCGGAGGUCAUGAGCAUGAGCAGUGCUCCCGCUGCACUGUAGGCAUUGUCGUAGGAGCUUGCCAUUCUCUUGCUGCAGUCGCAGCCGAGCUGGGUGGCAAACUCUCCGUGCAGCACAGCCUCAUGGUGCGGUGCUUGCUGGCCGCCAUGCAGGACGUGGCAGGAGGCUGGCUGGCAGCGGCAACGUGCAGCCGCCAGCAGCGACUGCUGCGCACAGAGCUGUAUGACUAGGCUGUGGCGGCGGGGCGGUAGCUGCAGCCGCGCGCGGAAGCGCGUGGCGGCGCUGCUGGUGGUGCUUGGUGUGCGGGCCUGGUGGCAGGGUGGCUAGGCACCGCUGAGGGUGGAACGUGGUUGCUUACCAAGGCCGUGCGGCGCCUGCACCUAUAAGGGCUGCAGGCGACUGGUAUGUUCGUUGCUGGCGGGAUGAAGCAGGGAGCCGCGAUGAUGAGGCCGUGGUGUGGUGUCGCACGAACAUCCUUGCGGUGCUGAUGACUUCGGCGUGUCGCUGGUUGGCAUGUGUUCCAGCGGACUAGAUUUUGGCAUCAAAGACCUGAAUGGACAACAUGAUUAGGAGGCCCUCCUCCGCCCCCCCUGAUGCUGCACUAAAGUCGGUAAUGUAUUAGUGGCCUUGCCGUUGCAGCUUUUGCAUUGGGGUGGGGUAUCCGUCCGUGUUUCAGCUCUGUAGCCGAAUGAAGCAUAUACUGGUAAAUAACAUGAAGUGCUGGUGGUCUGUGGAUGGCUGCGCUUGUGCUGGGUUGUGCUCCAUGUUAGCUGUACGAUUGUUGGGCUGUAGCGCGGUGCUGCCGGCCUGCCAAACAUUCAAUGUCUGCACUGUGAAAUCCGUAAUACCCACCUCAACUGGCUUUCAGCAUGACGUGCGUUCCCACGGCCUCUGCAACUGGAUAGUGGGCCAACCGAGUACCGUACUGCUACACGUGAUUCGUGAUAUCAGAAUUCGUGAAAUGUUAUUUUUGGGCCCUGAGAUUUUCACGGCGCGCACCAGAAUUCGUGAAAGGACCGUGGCGUUAGGUGGUCGGGAUUUUCACCGUGCUACCAGAUUUCGUGAAAUUGCCCCCCUACUUCCCAUCCCACCGCGUGUAUCUCGGGGUUGGGCUUGCGGCACAUCGCAUCUAUAAACACAGCGUCACCACAUGGCUCCCUUUAACAGCUCCUUGUGUGCACCACACACUGUCGACAUGUCGACACAUGUCCGGGUUGGAGCGUGCACACAUGCGCACAAGAAUUCGUGAAACGGUGCCUCCAAAAACCGGUCUGGAUUUUCACCUGCUACCAAUUUCGUGAAAUUUCACGAAACUGGUAUCACAAACCACGCGUAGCAGUAAGGUACUGGCCUGCCAAGCAUGCGUCUUACCGACCUCCAGAACCCUCCAGAGCCCCUCAGAGCCCUUCAGAGGCCUGUGCAGAUACCUCAAGAGGCUGAGCAGCUCUGAAGCAGCCGGUGUCAGGAAUGCCAGACCACCCUAAAAGCAGCAGAAAGCAUGGACGCGGCGCUGGAAAAAAAACGCACAUUUGAAGUUAACUUUUGGUGUUUGGUGUUAACUCAGCAUGUGAAGGAGGCACCUUCCCUGAUGAGGCACUCACAGAUGUGGACUACAUGCUGGCGCUGAACACGGGGCACGUGUGGUCAAGUGACCACGUGCAAUUGCUGGAGGGCAAGGGGCUGUUUGAUCUGUCAUCGUUACCUCCCCUCGCUUGGCACCUACUUGCUAUACCCCACCCGUUAUAUCCACAAGUUCUCGUGGUGAUCCGCCGACGGACCUGCGGCCCCAACCCCGGCUUGGUCGUCGGCGCGGCUCCUUCCUGAUGUAUGUAUGUAUGUAAACGUACGGAUGGAUGGAUGUGACCACAUGUGUGGUAAUUUAACACACAGCUGACUUGCCAGGAGGUCCAUGACCCACGGGUCGGUGACAUCAGACGGGUCACCAAACUGACCAGGCGUAUUGGCCUUAUCGCUUAUGUGGAUGUAGGUGUGUGUUUUGAUAAUCUUCGAAGCUGCGAGGGUGGCAGGAAAUGCCGAGGGGUGGCGGUGGUUCACGAACAACACCUUUGGUGGUUAACAGAGUCCUGUGAUGGCUCCAGAACCCACCCUUCCAAUACCACCGGUGGAUUGGGGGAAGGUGUCUGGUUUGCCGUACACGUUGCGAUCUAUAUGCCGUGUAAACAUUGUGAUCUAAUCCCUUUCCAGCACAUGUAGCCAGUAUGUAAGUAUGUAUGUGUAUAUGUACGGCGGUUUCCUCUGCAGCAGCACAUCAACACACGAAAUAAGAGGCGCACCUCCCCAGGGCAUUUCCCGAUGUCUACUCCCACCAUGUGUGUGUAUUGAGGUUGGGGGGAGAAGAACCAUAAACCACGAAAUGGAAUUACAGCCCAGUAAUAAGGUAUAUAAACAAAUAAAAUAAAGCAGUGACCCCCAGUACGGCACAUCAGCCCCACUCCACACACCAUACAAACCCCGUACACACGUUGAAGGGCCCCUUCCCACGCAAUCUGGCGCCUCGCUACCUCAGUCAUCCACCACAUUCAUACACUCCAGCAGUACGGCACCCUAUACAAACUGCCGUGUACAUUAUAGUAUGAAAGUAUUAUUAGAAGUAUACACUGGCGCCCUCAGGCAUACGAGGGUAGGCCACCGGCCGGGGUUCCCCAUCGGGUAGCAGCUGCUGCAUGCGGGCCCCCCCGGGACCCCCCCCUCUACCCCCCGCCACCGUCCCUGCCCCCACGGUGGUGUACGACAACCCUAGAGAGGACGCGUCCGGGUCGCCAGGGGCAGUCACCGCAGCCGCCGCCCCCUCCACCGCCGCCGCUGGCUGCAGCAGCAACGAAUGGCAGGUCGCAGCGGUGGCAGUCGUGGUCGCGGUCGUCAUCGUCGUCGCCAUGGCAUUGUGGGGGUGUGCGGGGGUUUGUGCCUCUCGCAAGACUCGAUACGCCGCGUGUUGCCCCGCCGCCAGCGCGACCUCAGUUGCCGUACGUCCCGCGUUAUCCCGGGUGGUCCUGCUGGCGCCCUGACAUAGCAGCACCUCCACGGCGGCCACCAGGCCCAGGCGGGCCGCGGUGUGCAGGGGCGUCCCCCCCGUGGCGGGAUCUCGUUCCGUGUCGGGCCCACCGGCUGCAGCCGCCAGCAGCGGCAGCAGGUGCACGUGCCGCCGUAGAACCGCCAAUGUCAAGGGGCCACGGCCGGACUGCAAAACCACACAUUCAUACAUGCAUACAAGCAAAUAUCUGUACGCAUGAAUUCAUCAGGCGUUGGUAAGCGGUGAUGGUGGAGAGGACUGGUAGCUGUGAGAUAGACCUGCAGGUGGACCGGGGGAGACAACCGCCUGUCUGUCUGUCUGUCUGUCUGUCUGUCUGUCCGACGCAUGAAUGGGUACAUCAUUCAAACGAGCUUGCGGCUAACUGGGCCCCCAUUCCCUCCCUCCCCCCCCCAAUCCCCGCCCCUUUCCCCCGCCGCAGACUUUGGACGCCUUCCGGCAGCAGUUCAUUCCUUCUGGUUUCCUUGCAUUCCUUGCAUUCCUUGAUUUCCCCCCUUCCCUCCCCUCUCCCCUCCUCACCGCAUCCACGCACAGCCGCACCCUGUUGGUCUCCAUCCCCCGCAGCAAUACCCCGCAGGUCCCCUCCUUGCCGGCACACACCGCCGCCAGCAGGGGGCAGUGGCCCUCGCAGUCCCGCAGACUCAGCAGCAAGGACCUGGUCUCCGGGGGGUCCCGGUUACAUCGGCCCAGCAGCUCCAGGGUGGUCGCCACCUGGCCGGCAGCUGCUGCGAGAUGAAGGGGGGUGCGACCAGCCUGGGGGUGAGGGGGUAGGUGAGGGGGUGGGCGGUGUUGUUGUUCUUCUGGACAACGAUUGCUUGGUGUGCGUUGUGAAGGGGGGGGUUGUGGGGUCGUGGAUGCUGUUGGGGAGAGUUUGGCCCGCCUGGAACUGCCCCCUCCUCCUAGCCACCCGCCCGCCCACGGGGGCCCCCCACAGAUACACACACACGCGCGCGCUCACCCACCUUGUCCUGCAGUGUUGUUUUGGCACGUCGCGCCAGCAGCUCCCUGACCACCACGUCGAACCCCUUGGCAGCGGCAAGGUGGAGUGCAGUCUGGCCCUCCUGGGUCAGGUGGCCCCUCGGGAGGGGCAGGGGGAUGGGGUGGGGGGCCGGGAAAUCAUGUGCAAGGAAACAAGGAAUGAACUGCCCGCGUCUGUGCCGGGGAAGAAAGGGGGGGGGGAGGGGAGCAGGGAGGAAGGGGACACCGGAGAAGCACCGUCCACCGGAAGGACGGAAAAAGGGGCGGGAUGUAACGCAGGAACGAAUGGUCUGCAGCUCAAUUCGGGGGUGUUGAAAGAGAUGUAGGGUUUGGAGGAAGAAAUUUGCGCAAGGAAUGAGGGCCUUGCGGGUAUCUGAUCAGGAGGCGGAUGCUCCCUUAUCGUGAAGAAUACCUCCGAAACCACUUCCUCUCUCGGACGGACUUUGACUCAACAAAAAGGGGCGCAUCGGCGCUUCUUACCCUGCUGGUUCGAUCCAGGUCCUGGGGGCUCUUCUGCACCGCAUGCUGCACCUUGGCCACAUCUCCGGCAUCGGCCGCUGCGUGAAGUUCCGUCCAACCGGAGAGAACCCACUGCUUGAGGAACGCCAUAUGGGGCGGCUCUUGGGUGCUGCUUGCGUGUGCUCUUGCCUUUGGUAUAUGGGCUGGAUAAUGCUACUGAUAAACGAUGAAGAGGAAUAAAACCUGAGCCAAACCGGAGUUCCUAGGCGAGACGUCGGCAAAGUGUUCUUAGGAAGAAGGUAAGAUGUGUUUAAAACGGCGCUCGUAACUGCAAGUUAAGCUGAAUGACCGCGAGGGCAGGGGUCUGUCGUCCUGUGGGAGAGCCACGGUCCAGGGUGGCAACGGACUUCCGCAGCGAUUAAUGCUGAUAGGAAGAAAGGUAUACGCGGGAGCGGUCAGCCCCUAACUAGCCACGGGCUUGGGGAGCCUUGUUAACCCCUGUGCGGCGGAAGAUUGCGCAGGGUAGGCUGUGCUUUCUUCAAUUUCAUGCUACAAAUCAGUAAACGCAUACAUAUAAAAGUCUAUUUGAGCAAUAAUCCUUGCCAGUAGGGAGCCCCUACCUUAGCUUCCGGGAGCUAACGGCAGUUGGUGGUUCGGUCCUUGGGAAUGUAUCAUAUGACGGAAGUCAAACUUAUAAAACGUUGGACUUCUCAAAUGCUACCCAUACAACAGCUUUCCACUUAAUAUAACCUGCAAUCCAGUUUUACAGUCUUGUCCAAUCACUAUGAUACGGCAAUGAAUCAAUCCACGACGGUUCCGACAUGACGGAAUACCCAAGCAUAUGUAAGAAUACCAUGAUGGAAUUCAAUACUACUGAUUGUAAUCCUUUGCGCGACAGCUUCUGCAACUUUGACGUGUGGCACUAUUGCAUGCGUGUGGCAGCGUUUUCCUACUUAGACGCCUCCGCAAGCCUGGCUAGCCUCAAAUAACUAAUGGCUUAUCCCUUGCAGUAGGUACUGAAGUAGUCAGACAGCUGUCCUUUUAGGACAUUCAACUUUUCGAGAACAGACCUUCCGUGGGUAGAAGUUUGCAGCGACAGCUCGAAACCACGGAACGACAGCUGUCAUGGAGUUUAGCAGCGCCCAAGCAACUCUUCGCAUCCGGCGCGUGCAGUUGUUUUGUGCGGAAAACGGCCUGGACGGCGUGCUGCUCGUCCCUGGCGUCGAUGGCCGUUUCUCUGUCUGCAACCAGGCUAUGGGCUACCUCUUCAGCGGCCGCAGCAACCGCGACACCAUCGACGUAGUUAAACUUGACGACAACCUCGACGAUGCGGUAGCGCUGGUCACUGCAACCGAAGUAAGAUUGUACAUCCCCGAUGCGGAGCUGCGCGAACAGCUCCAAGGCCUGCUGGUACCCCACGUGGCCAGCCUUCGCAUUCUUGGACCCACCGUCUCUGAGGCCGCAGAUCCAGACCUGUUAGAGGAAAACAAACUUGCCAGUUUCGUGCACAUGCUGCGGGGAUGCCAGCGACUCGGCAUCCCCUGCAGCUUAUCGCCUUGUCCAGCACAGAAGAAUGAGGAACCCCCAUCCUCUCAGCUCGCUCCUCGUCUGGGUGCGGAGCAGCUGCUGGCGCUGGAGCGGUGGCCCCUGCUGCAGGCAUACGGCCUGGAGGGAGUGGGUCGCAGCGGCUUCUUCACCAUGAACUUCCAGGCAGGUCGACCUCCUCUGCGGCGCUGUGUAGCUACUGCUGCUGCUAGUAGUGCUGCUACUGCCACUGCUGCUACUCCUGCUACCGUCGCUGCUACCGUUGCUGCUACUCCUACUGCUGCUGUUGCCACUGCUGCUACUAGUGUUAUGCUACUGCCAUGCCAUUGCUGAGGCUGCAGUGCUGCGCCGCGUGAGGGGCUUGUAGUCCGGGGGAUAACCCAGUUGUAGAUCCGGACCGAGGGGCGGUAUUUUAUUGUACGGUAAUUGCGGUCUAGGUGUCGUGCACGGGGGGGGGAGGAAACGCAGGUGGAGAUGUGAUAUGCACGUGUGUUUGGGUUUGUGCCGCUGCCUGGGUGGCUGGCUGGGUGUUGCCUGGGGCACUUGACCUUCCUUCUCCCUCAUCCCCAAGAGUUCUCCCUUUUUUUCACCUGCAGGUGCAUGACGUACAGCCGUACAUGCAGCACUUGUACGGUCAGCUGGACGGCAGGUCUCUGGAGGUGUUGGUUUCGGAGUCAGUACCCACUCUGAGGCUGCACUGGGACGAGAUGCUGCAGGCAGGUGUCGCAAACGUCUUCUGGUCCCAUCACCUACCUCAUCAUCGUCAUCGUCCAAAUCCCCUCCCCCUCCCCUUCCCACCUCCUCCCCCCCGGCCGUCCCUCAGGUGCUGGGUGGUAAGCCGGCCGGUCAGCGCGCCAAAGUGAGUGAGAGGCAGCUGGUGGAGCCGCUCGCAGGUUACUUCUCGUACGGCAUGCUGAGGGCAGCCCCGGGGGUAGAGCAGGUGGGUGGGAGGGGUGGGUGUGUGGGGUGGGGGCAGGGAGGGAUGGGGGGGCGCCCCCGAGGGGCCGGGUGGAGAGGACAUACCUACCUAGCUACAUGUACAUACACCCAACCCGCCACAAUCCAUAACCCGCAUUUCCGUACACCACAUUCUCACAUUUCUUUCCUGGACAAAGUAUAACUCCUUCUCACAUCACUUCACUUCACUUCAUCGCCAGCACCACCACCACAACCACCACCACUACCAGCCGAACACUGUCCCCCGUCCCCUUCCCCCUUUUUGUACACUCUUUCCUUGGCAUUAGCUUUACUCGUUCACGUGGUUCGUCAUCCCCCUCAACCCCCCGGGAUGCCCCUCCCCCACCCCGCCCCACCCCACCCCGGCAGGCGGUCAUCCUGCCCCCCCGAGUCGUGUGCGGGCCCCGCAGCUCAGAUGACUCGGCUCGCAGUGAGGCCACGACACUGACUGUCAAUUUUGGACCCACCAUCACCCCCUCCUCCACCACCUCCACCCCAAUCCCGCACCCCGCCAGCAACCUCCUCCCGUCCCAGCCCGCUCUCCACUGGGUGGUGGAGGGGGCUGACCCCCGCAGCGCCCUGCGGGUGGCGCGGAGCUACUUCCUGACCAGGGGUUGUGGGACCCGGGACGUUUUUGCAGGUGCGUGUGUGUUUUGUGUGUGGGGGUUGGGGGGCAGAUGGGGGAUACGACGAAACAUAGACGAUUGACGCGAAAGAGGGUUGAGGGGGAGGAGGUUGGAAGGGGGUGGGGUGAAGGGGGGAGGUGAGUGUCGUUAACCGUUAGGGUGGCGGACACGACCUUCAGACAGACAGACAGACACUAGUGAUAAGGGCUGGCGUUGGGGUGAAAAGACGAACCACGAGCGAGUGAAGCUGCUGCCGAGGAAAGGGGGUUGAGGGGAAAGGGGGGGCGAUGGUAUCUGUGAGUAUAUACACACACAUAUACAUAUACACACAACGCGCGCGUCGUGUUCUCGUGUGUGCGUCCACGCCAAUAACUUACCCCAGCAUUGUUCACGUGCUGGGACACGGCACGUGUGUUUUAUGUUUCUUGCCACCUUCCCCUUUCCCCCGAUGUCCCUCCCACACCCGGCCUGCUUCUGUGCGACCCGACAGACCCGGAGGAGCGGGAGGAGGAGGAGGCCGAACAGGGGUUCAUGUUUGCCUCCGCCAUUGCGGCGUGGGAGGGGCAGGCGGGGGAGGUGGUGAUGAUGAUGAGGAUGUACGCGGCCGUGGUGGAGGCAGCUCACGCGGCCAUGUCACACUUUGCCUUGGUAGGGUCGGAGGGGAAAGGGCUCGCUCCCUCUUGUCCUGCGCUCUGUCUGUCUGUCUGUCUGUCUGCCUGUUUAUCGUCGUGCCCUGUCUAUGGCGCUGCUGAUGCUGUUGCUGCUAUAGCCCCUGCUACAGCCUCUUUCUCUGCGCCCUGCGCUUUGAUACGUGUCAUUUCGUCGUGUGUGUGUUUUUCAUCGGUGUGGGUGCUCUUCUCCCCCCCCCCGGGACCCCCCUUCCCUCCCUUCCCGCGCCGUACUCGCGACGUGUGUGUAUAGGUCGACGGCGCCACGGCCCUCAGCGCCAAGGCGGUGGCGGUGGAAGUGCUGGCCAGGCGGGCGGAGCAGCUGGGGCUGGCGGGGAGCCCCACUGCCGCCCGGCUCAGAUUCACGCUGAUGCAAAUGGACCACAUGAACCGGGUGACGGUGCCAGCUGUGCGGGGCAGCAGACAGCUCAAGGUGGGGUUUGGGGGGGGGAGGGAUGGGGGGAGGGGGGUUGGGGGCAGGUGAUGAGGGGGGGGAUGGAGAGGGGUUUAUGGGGGGAAAGGUGGGCGGGGUAACGAAGAUAUGCUGGAGGUAAAAGGCAGCAGUUGGGGGGGAGUUGUGAGAAGCCGCAUCGAACACGCUUCAACACUCGUACAGACAGAAAGACAUGACGUUGCGAUAUUCUGUCAUAAGGGGUUGCUCGCCACUCAGCACUUGGCGCUCAGCCAAACCAAACCGGCAACACCCACCUCGAUUUUGCACUCUCUUCCCCCCUGGUUAACUCUUGCCCUGGCAGCAGCCUCACUCGUUCGUGGUUCGUCUUUUCCCCCAUCCCCAAAAUAGACACACACAAAAAAAAUUCAAAAUAUUACACAAAAACACAAAUACACACACACACGACCUUCUUGUGUACAUACAUGUGACGUCCCCCGCUUACCCACGCGUCACCAAAACACACACGAAACACAGGUAAUUCGGUUGAGCCUCCCGGACAUCUCCCCUCGGAACUCCGGGGGAAAGCUGCUGGGCGGACUGGUGUACGGCGAUACCUUCUUGGAACUUCCGCCGACGCCGCCGUACACCACCGCGUCGGCGGCAUCGACGGUUGCUAGCGGUUGGCGGUUGUUAGUUUUAACGGAGGGUAUCCCGGCGAUGGUCGCUAUUCCCGGCGGCGGCGGUGUUGAGGAGGUGCUGGAGGGCCGGGCGCUGCGCAGCCUGAUGCGUGUGGUGGAGGAGGGGGGAACAGGUAGUGUACGACAAAAGGGGAAGGGGGGAAGGGGGGUUUCGUGAAUGAGGUUUUGGGGGUUGAAUUGCAUUUUCUCACCUCCUGGGGUUUUGUCCCCCCGGGCCCCCGGCCCCCCCACCUCGUUCGUGGUUCGUCUUUCCCCCCACCCCACCCCCCGCAAAGCACACAACGCACGCACAGAGCGCACUGUCCUGUCCCGGUACCUUGGUGCCUUGGACGUCCGUAGCAAUUCACCUUCUACACUUCGCAUCAUCAUCAUCAUCAUCACCCGCCUGUGGUUCGUCUCUCCAACCUCAUCCCCCCGCAAUCCGUGAUUUCAGGGGGCGGCGGGGGCCGCCUGCGGACCUCUCAAGCCCGGACCAGCAGCCUAAGCUCGCGGCGGGAGCUGGAGAGGCGGGCAGCGGGGGCGGCGGCGGAGGCGGAGGCGCUGGCGGGGAAGUUGCGGGCGCGGAAGGGGGCGGGAGGGCCGGAACCCGGGGAGGAGCUGGAGGGGGAGGUGGAGGAGGAGGAGGAGGCGGAGGAGGUGGGUGGUGGCGGGCUGCGAGGGCUUGUCGGUGCUGCAUGCAUGCAUGCAUGCUGUGUUCCUCUGUACGACAGGGGGAUGUCGUACGCGUUGUGUGCAGGGGAGGGUUAGGCUGGAGAGGCUCGGGUUAAUGGCCGAUGGCUGGGUGGUGCAUGUAUGUAUGUAUGUAUGUAUGUAUCUCAGGAAGAAGGUUGUGUGGUGUUCAACCCGGGUGCCCGUACUGCUACUCCUGCUCACCACCACGGUACGACACCCCCUUCCCUCUCCCCCGCAGGAGCCUGCUGCUGCUGCGUCUUCCUCACCGGCUACUGCCGCCGCUGCCAAGCUCCGUCCCGCGGAUGCUCUCGGGCGGUUGCUAACCCUGGGAGGAGGCGGUGACGAUGCCGUACUGCUGACCGGUACGGCAGGGACUCGGGGGGACUUGGGGAUUGAGAGUUUCCCAGCUCCCCUCCAGCCCUAACCCGCAACGCCGUACCCCGGGGGGCCCUAAGCACUCCGCCCGCUGGUCCGUCUGCGGGGCGGGGGGAGGGGAGUUCCCGGGGGGGGCCCAAUCUCCCACGUGCAAUACACAAUAUGUCCGCACUGUCGUCGAAUUCCCCCAACCCCCAUGGCGCCGCACAUACAUACAUACAUACAUACAUACAUACAUACAUACAUACAUACAUACAUACAUACAUACAUACAUACAUACAUACAUACAUACAUACAUAUAUGCAUACAUACACACCGGCUCUUUUCACUCGCCUCUGCAGGCGCCCCCGUCUGUCCCGCCUUGUACGGCACCUUGUACUGCUUUUCCGGGGGCCUUGUGUUCGUGGAGGCGAUUAGUCGGGCCCUAUGGGUGCUCGACCUGCGAGGUGGCGGAGCGGCUGUAGCGGGAGGGGGUGUAGCGCCAGCGGCGGCGGCGGGUGUGGAGGCCGUCACCAUACAGCAACUGCCGCUGCCGCAAAGGGCUGUAGCGGCUGCUGCUGCUGCGCUGUCGCUGUCGGCGGCAGAUGGCGCGGGAGAUAGCGCCUCCGGGGGCGGGGGCGGGGUUCGUGUGGGUUUGGGGGAGGCAGUUGUGUUUCGCGGCAGCUCCCCUGCCUGCGGUCUCCCCCCCGCCUGCCACGUCACCGCCAAUACACACGUGGCACUUCCACUGGAGGCCAUGUCGCCGGUGAGGGAGGGGAGGAGGGGCGGAAAAUGGGGCCGGGUCCGACAAAACACAGACGAUUGACGAGGAGAAGGAAAAAACAUAAGAGGGAAAUUCCUAAAGGUAAAAGAGCAGCACUGACCGGAGGAGAACAAGAAAGGUNNNNNNNNNNNNNNNNNNNNNNNNNNNNNNNNNNNNNNNNNNNNNNNNNNGAGGGAGUGAAGGCAGCACGGGAGUGAGUAAAUGAGGUUGUUAUUAUUACAGCCCCACGAAUAGCCCGGUGGGUUUAUUGUGCUGCUGGGUUUUUAGAUAGAGACAUAUGUACGUACAUACAUACAGACACACACACGCCCAAACGCCCAAACGCCCCCACCCCACACUCCCCUUUUCAGGCCGCUCGGCGCUUCCUAAUCCAGUCCGUACUGCCAGCCUGGCAGCAGACUUGCCGGGAGGCGGCCGCGGCUGCAGCUGCAGCCGGGCCGCUGCCCGGGCCCCCCUCUCCCGCCUCCUACCUGAAGGACAUGACCGCGCCCAACCCCUUCCCGCCGGCAUUGCACCGGGCUCAUGCGUACGCCAUCCAGGUGUGUGUGUGUGUGAAGGGGGGGGGCGUAGGGGUGUGUUUUAUGUUUUUUGUGGGGGGGGUGGGGGGGCGGGGAAAGGGCUGUCAGGGUUUUGGGGGGUAGUAAGAGGGAGUUUGGGAGCUUUCGAUGGUUUCGGAGCAAUCCAUGAUGCCCGGGUGCUGUAGACGUGAUGCGGUUUGGGAUUAGAGGGGGGCCGGGUGAGGGGGGGGGUAAAAGGUCGUCCUCUAGCUCUAAGGUGCGGCGGAUGUCGGUUCGCAAUGUCAGCAACCAGGCUACUGCCGCCGCUGCCACAGCUGCUGCUGCUGCUGCUGCUGGCAUUCAAGGCAUUACCCCACGCUGCCGUACUGCACACACACACACAUNNNNNNNNNNNNNNNNNNNNNNNNNNNNNNNNNNNNNNNNNNNNNNNNNNNNNNNNNNNNNNNNNNNNNNNNNNNNNNNNNNNNNNNNNNNNNNNNNNNNNNNNNNNNNNNNNNNNNNNNNNNNNNNNNNNNNNNNNNNNNNNNNNNNNNNNNNNNNNNNNNNNNNNNNNNNNNNNNNNNNNNNNNNNNNNNNNNNNNNNNNNNNNNNNNNNNNNNNNNNNNNNNNNNNNNNNNNNNNNNNNNNNNNNNNNNNNNNNNNNNNNNNNNNNNNNNNNNNNNNNNNNNNNNNNNNNNNNNNNNNNNNNNNNNNNNNNNNNNNNNNNNNNNNNNNNNNNNNNNNNNNNNNNNNNNNNNNNNNNNNNNNNNNNNNNNNNNNNNNNNNNNNNNNNNNNNNNNNNNNNNNNNNNNNNNNNNNNNNNNNNNNNNNNNNNNNNNNNNNNNNNNNNNNNNNNNNNNNNNNNNNNNNNNNNNNNNNNNNNNNNNNNNNNNNNNNNNNNNNNNNNNNNNNNNNNNNNNNNNNNNNNNUCGCUCUGAGGAUCCCCGCAUCUGGCGGGGCCGUCACGCUCAUCGUGGGUCUUCCGGGCGCCGAUCAAAGCUCCGUCGCGGCGGCUGUAGCGUCCAUGGUUGGCGGCGGCAGCGGCGGUGGUGAUGGCGGUCGAGGGGUGGCGGCCGGGCCGAGGGUGGCGCUGUUGCCGCCGGACGAAGGGCCGCUGGGGGAGAAGCACUUCGCGGCAGCUUUAGCCGCUGCCGCCGCCGCCGACGGCGCAGCGGUCGCCGCUGCGCCGCGGCACUUAGUCAUAGCGACGAGUUCGUACACUGGCCUGUCGGAGCAGUUGCGGAUGUUGGCGGCGGCGGCAGUGGGUGGCGCGGCGGGGCGGUGGCGGCUGGCGGCGGUGGUGGUGUGCGUCAGCGGCGACGUGUCGUACGAGGAGCCUGGUCGCGGAGUGCUGGCGGGCGGUCUGCUGGCGCAGAUGCUACCCGGCUUCGUGGAUUGUGUAGUGCUUGGAGGAAGCGAUGCCGCCAAGGUAUCACAAGGCACACGGUGUACGGAAAUGAAGAUCUCGUCGCUAGGAUCUGUCGUGCGUCGUGCUAGGAUCUGUCGUACGCCUUUCGUACCUCGUAACACGGGUGACCCGCGGGUCGGUUGGAUGGCUGCAGGUUUCGGAGCUGUCUGAGUUGGUGGCCUCGCGACUUCCCGAGGUGCCGCUGGUGCGGUCGAGUCGUACGGCAUUGCUGAGGGCCCGCCAGGAGCUGCUGCCGCCGCCGGCGGAGAGAGCCGUACGGCUUGCGUCGCAGCGGGCGGCCGCAGACAGGGCGGCGUGGGCGCCGCUGGCAGCUGCCGCCACCGCUGCCGCUGCCGUCGGCGGGUCGUGCUCGGGCGGUUUGUUUGGGCAGCUGCGGGCGACACGAGUGGUGGUGGAGGGCAGUCUGGACGUGACUAAGCUCAAGUGUGUAUUGAACGACGCGCGCGCGCGUGUGUGUGUAUGUGUAUAUGUAUGUGUGUUGGGGAGGUUGGCAUUGGAUUACAUACAGACGGACCGGCGAAUAAAACAUAGAUAAAAAUCAGGAAUAAACCCUAAAGUUACACACGGAUCCGCGUGUGUGUACAACCUCCAGUACUAGUGGGUAUGGCCAUGGGGGCAUCGUACCUACUCUUUUAAGGCCUGUGAGCGCAUGAUGAGGAGGCGUUGUGCGGGUGGCGGUGAGCUGCAGCAGGGCUGGUACCGCCCCUUACCCGGUAGCUCGCCCCGCUUGCCACCACCGUCAUCCCCACAUCUACUGCUACUGCUACUGCUGCUGCAGCUAUUUGUGGCGCUGUUGAUUGCUUUUGCCCGUACGGUGUUGCCGUACUGCCGUAGGGCUGCAGUAGCUGGUCUGGGUGCGCCUCAAGACCCUGCCUGGGCGCCCAGACUCCCGCUGCUGGAUGAGGACAACAACAACAACCACAACAACCAACAUAACCAACUCAACCACCACCAGCAACACGACGCGGCAGCGGGAAAACAACCCGUGCGAGCAGCGGCUUCUCCUGCCGUACCAGUAGCAUCAGUAGCAUCCGACGGUCCUGGAUCCGUUUGUGGCCAGCAGCUGGUUUGCGUGAGCGGCUGUUUGCGACUGAGUGACGGCGGGGCCCUGAUGGAGGUGGUGGGGACCAGGCAGUUGGCGCUGAGGAGCCGGGAGUGGCCGCUGGCGGAGGCGGCUAUAGUGCUGGGUGAGUGAGUGAGUGUGAGAGAGAGAGAGAGAGAUGGAGAUAGAUACAUAGGUACAUAGAGAGAUAAUGUGUGGGGGUGUGGAGAAGUUGUGUAAGGGGUGUGGAGUGGGUUUCGUGGCCCGCAUUGUGGUGCAAUAGAGGGGCAGGGGGUGGGUGGGCUGGGAUGAGGGUGGUGGGUGUGAGGGGGCGAGGCUGGGAGGUGGUAGUUCAUUAACAUGCAGGGGGAUGGGUGUAGGUGUGUGUGUGUGUGUGUGUGUGUGCUAGCUAGACCCUGGUUUCGGAGGUUGCGGCCGCAGGUGGAGUGAGGGGCUCUGUGGUGUGGGGAGAUGGGGGCAGAUGCGAUGCGGCAGCGGGGUACGUUAUUAGAAAGGUACGGCAGUGUGACUCACCCAUAUGGGGGCAAUUCCUCCAAUCCGUUGCUGUGUCCUCCAGGCAGUCCGUACCUCACUUCAUCUCACACUUCAUCUCACCCUACUCGAGGGGAUCUCUCUUCCCCCGGACCAGCUUUCCCCGCCCCCAAAACCCGCUGGCUGUGCAGGUGCUCCCGUACUGCCGUACGACGGGCGCUCCCCGGGCGGUGAGCUGCUGUUCGUGGGCAGCGGAGCCGCUGUGGAGCCGCAGCGUGUGAAGGCCCUGCUCGCGUCCUGCGGUGUCGGAGGGGACAGCAACGGCAACGGCGGCAACGGCAGUGCUGCGGCAGCGCCGGCGGCGGUGCCGGCAAGUGCCGGCGAGCUGACGUCAUCACAGCGUACGGCCAUUCGGGCGGCCCGCCUUUGGGACCCCCUUCCCGAGGGUUACUGCUUCAACGGGACGCAGUACUUCGACGCCUUCGGGGACGCGUCCUUGGAACAUCCGCACAUGGACAGGUGGGCGGGGGGGGGUAAGAUUUGAAGGGUUUUAGGGUUUUACGGUUGCUUGUCCUCACUCCUCACUUGAUCCCACGACGAUCCCACACAUACACACAUACACACCAUUUUAAGCUCAAUUCCCGGUCCUCAUCUCUCUCUCUCUCUUUCCCUCCAUACCUCUUCCCUACCUUACUAUCUGUUCCGGUUCUCAAUCCCCCACUUCAUGCACUUUUCCGGCACAGGUUCAUAGCGGAGUGGAUAUCGGAGCAGCAGCAGCAGGCGGAUCGAUCGCAGCGUGGCGGUACCGAAGCGGGGCGAAGUGCGGGAGGAGCCCCGCGAGUGGUGCGAGUGAUGGGGCCUUCGGGGCUGUAGGUGGUCGGGGACUUCCGACGGGGGGGGGUGGGGCCUCUGGGCCGGGGGCCUGGAUGCACCGGUGUCCGGUUAUGUUGCAAGCGUGCGCAUGUAAGUAGGGUGUACGGGAAUGUACGAGAGCUAGGUGUACGUGGUGAGUGUGUUGGUGCUGUUAAUGCUGCACACUACAUAUACUACACGUAUGUUGUAUGGCGGUAAGGGUGUGUCGUAUUGACGACAAACGUCGUUGUUGCUGUAAUUUUGGAACGCUGAAGUGUCUGGGUGGUGGUGGUGGAGGUGGUGGUGGUGGUGAAGGUGGUGGUGAUGUCGAUUUCCUUUGGGAUUUCGGGUCAUCUGUGCCCUUGACCACCACCCUAUCAUAUGACCACCACCUCGUUCGCAGAUGAUACGUUCACAGCGCAUGGACCCAGCGCAAAACCCUCCAUUCAUCCAGACCAUGAAAUUGCAUUAAUGUCGACAAGAUGACCCUUUUCCUGCUGCUGUUGUAAACAGACCUGUCAAGCCCGGUACGCUACCUCCUUUCCUUCCACUGUUUUUAACUCUGGAUCCUCACUCCCCUCUCCCUUCGAGUACGGGAUGUCCGAGAGGGGCAUUCAACGCCCAGUCAAUGUCAACGCCCUCCUGCACCUGUGUGUGUGUGUGUGCCAGUACCAGUAUACCAAUCACACCGCAGUUCAGAUAUCCCCAAAUACUUUGCAUUCACCAGACCGACACAACAUCCAGUAAUAAUAUGCUGCUAUAGUGCUGUUAGUGCUGUCAAUGCUGUCGUUUCCUCACCUCAGGUAUAAUAGACAGACCAGGCUUUUCCAGGCCCCACGGCUGCUCUCCCCCCGGCGGCCCCUAACGCUCUCUCCACCUAUCAACCCUAAGGUUACCUCGCCACGCGCGGAAAGGUGCCCAUCUGCUGACGGCCCCCCAAAUACGUACAUACAGACAUACAUGAGGCAUACAUAUGCAUGCAUAGACGUGCACUUGGCCGUAUCACCCCUUGCUCCACGUCUCCUUUACAUGCACAGGCCGAUACAACCUACUAGACCUGGCUAAGAGCACUAGGGCACUAGGGGCCACGGCGUGUCGCUGUCUGCGCCUCAUAAGGCCCGGCAAGAAGUCACCAUGGACAGCCCCAUCAGCAACACCAUGAGCAGCAGUCCGGCUAGCAGCGGCUGCGGCCGACACAGCCACAGCCAGCUGGUACCCCAGGCGCCGCUCCCUCCGGCAGCAGCAGCAGCCGGCGACAGCGCCGUUUGGCCGCCUCCCCGGGAAAGCAGAGAGCGGCGGCGAACUUCCCCAACCAGCAGCUGUCAGGGGUAUGACAGGAACGCAGCGAGGGAGGAAGGGGAGGAAUGAGCUGCAGUAGAAAAGAAAUGAAGCUCCUGCCAUUUCCAGCGCGCCAAGUACCACCGUCCCGAUUGGAUUGGAAGGAACGCGGUCUUAGUAACCCCUCCUCUCCCCUCCCCUCGUUUGUGGUUCGUCUUCCCCUCCCCUCCCCUCCCCUCCCCUCCCCUCUCACCGCCGCCAGCAGGACCCCCUGCGCCACCACGUGUAGGCCCAGGCAGCAGCUGGCCUGGAUGAUGAAGUCGCCAACCGCCUGAGCGGCGCGUUGAAGGAAGGCGGGAAAGGAGGGGGAACCGGGGAAAACAUCGCUAACGCCAGCCCAAUCGACAAUCAGCGUGUGCGUAUGUGUGUGUAAGUGUGCGCGCGUGUGCUUCUCUUGCACACAAAAUUCUUUCCGCGCAAAAACCCCCAAAACCUAAGCCCAAUCUGCGUGUGUAGGUGGUGCAUUUGUUUGCGUGACAAGAGUAUGAUGGUGUAAGCCUUCUCGCCGUGAAAGGGCGCCAAUGACACGCAGACCAGCAAAGGUAAACGCCAAACGGCCCAAGCUGCUCUAAAACUCCAAACCCGGGCUCUGAUGUGGGUGGCUUACGUCAAGUCCUGCGGGAUCCCCUCUGUCGCGCUUUUUUAAUUCGCCACAUUCUCUGCAGAAGAGAACACACGCACACACACCCUCCCCUCGUCCAGUACGGCUGUGCAUGUGUCCGUACCUGACCGUACACGAACCCGAUUUUGAACAGCAGCGAGCUCGACUUGGUGACUGUCUCCGAGUGUUCCGAGCUCACAGAGCGCCAGGGGUUGCCGGCGGGGUCGGGGAUACAGCCGGGGCGGGAGGCUACUCGGUGACGGUAGGGCUUGGGCCACCGGUGCCGCCUGCGUGUGUGUGGGGGGUGGGUGGGGUGGGUGGGUGGGGGAGUGGAACAGGUGAGGACAAGGGGGCAAGCCGCGUGGAGGUGGGGAUGUUGGGAUAUGAACACCGCACUCGCUUGUGAGAUCUGGGGCCACUGAAACUACCCCUAACUCCUCCCACCUCCCACCCUCUCCCCGGCCCCCCGUGCACCCACCUAGACGCCGCAACAAUCGGUGCGGAGGAGGCGGUUGGAUCCCAGGACACCUUCUUGACCGCCGAGGUGCAGUGCGUCUCACGGGGCAUACAUGAUGAGUAGUUGUUCAACCGAAUGUGCAACGUCAGGGCGGUUUGCUCGUACAGGUGGUUGGCGCGGGAAUGGCCGGGCGGCGCGGUGCAGUUGAUGGCCAAUGCGCAUGCCACUGCCGGCCCCAGCAGCAGCUGCUGAGACGCCGCCCCGCGCACCCAGCCUGAGGUUGCAGGAGGAUGGAUGGGGGGGCGAGAGGGGGGCCGAUGAGACGCGAGAGACGUGCGCGCGCGCGUGAGGAGAGAGAGAGGAGAGAUGGGAGAGCGAGGAGAGAUGGGAGAGAGAGGAGAGAUGGGAGAGAGAGAGGAGAGAUGGGAGAGAGAGAGGAGAGAUGGGAGAGAGAGGAGAGAGAGAGGAGAGAUGGGAUAGGGAAAGGACAGAGCCCUGUUACAAUCGUCGGACAAUCGGUAACCAGGAAAAGGGAGAACGGACCGAAAUCCGCAUUUCGCAGCUCAAGAGGGCACUCCGUCGGAUCUAUGCGAUGACACCCUUGAUGCCUUCAUCGCACUUAAAAACUAUCCUAGCCUCGGCUUAAUCAGCGGUUUCCGCUUCUCAAUCCCCCCCAGCCCUCUGCAACCCCAUCAACACCCCGGCAGCCGCCCCACCCCCCCUCCCGCCCCCCCCCCUCACCCUGCAGGCCACUCGCACAGAAUGGCUGCUUCUUCACUCGCUGGUAGUCCUGGUCCGUCAUGUUGAAGAACGGCACCGAGUACUUCUCCGUGUACGAGUAGUCCGAGGGGGAGCCGCUCUGCUGGGCACUCGCGUACCCGUCCCUGGCCAGCACUGCCUUGAGGCUGUCCAGGGGCCCGCGGAUCUGUGGGGAGGUACGACACGGAACGGGGCUCAUAUGUGCUGUCUAUGUGUAUGUAUGCCUGUCUAUAUAUGUAUGUAUGUAUGUAUGUAUGUAUGUAUGUAUGUAUGUAUGUAUGUAUGUAUGUAUGUAUGUAUGUAUGUAUAUAUAUAUAUGUAUGAUGUGUGAAACAGGGGGGUAUAUCUUCGCCCGUGGCAGCUACCCUGCGAAACCCUGCCUCCCCCAGUAUUUUGGGGCACCCUCAUCCAGUCACCCUAGUCAACUUCUCAGUGGAUCGCUCAGGUUCCGCACCCAUCACCAGCAUCCAACGGAAUCUGCCGGGUCGACAGCGGCCCAACUCCGUUCCUGGUCGGCUCGCAGGUUAACUUUAUCCCAGGUCACUACCGUCCAUCAACUAGGGGCGCAAUACCUUCCACCAUCGGGGGCAAUGGUCCUUGCCUUACCAGUAGUGCCUGACCUAUGCAUGCAUGCAUGUAUGUAUGUAUAUAUAUUUAUAUAUGUAUGUAUGUACGUAUGUAUGUACGUAUGUAUGUGUGUUGCCGUGUGGUCCCAACCGCGUGUUUGCAUCCCACCUCCCUCUCACUCCGUCACACACCCCACCCCACCUCCACCCCCACCUCCACCCCCACCCCACNNNNNNNNNNNNNNNNNNNNNNNNNNNNNNNNNNNNNNNNNNNNNNNNNNGGUCUUCAUGGCGUGCUGGAACAGCAGCGGCUUGAAGGCGUAGUUGUUGACCUCUUGCACGUGGGGCGGGUACUCCUCGUACGGGAACCUCACCACCUCCACACCCCGCCAGCACCUCAACCGGGCCAGCUGCUCGCUGGUGAACCCCAGGUCGUACACCACGAUGGGCAGGUCGGGCUCCCAAUACUGGGGGCCCCGCCACGUCGGAUCCGAUUGGACCGCAACAGGGGAGGGAGAGGGCCAGGGAGGGACAUCAGUAACAGGCACGAGACGAGAUCGGCAUCGAGGACUGAAUGCCCAACAUCGGCGGUACCCUAAGUAAAACGUUCCUAAUCGGGCUACCCUACCCUUGGGCUACCCUACCCUCGGGCUACCCUGCCUCCUGCUCGACUCCAAACCAAGCCAUCCCAACCCAUCCCAACCCAGCCCACCUGCAGUGAGCCCACCAGGUUCUCCAAUCUGUCCAUGAACGACAUCGUACAACCGCUGACAACGGUCAGGCGGGUCAGGUUGAAGGGCGCAGAGGGGUCCACAAAGGGCUGCGGUGGCGUGUAGUACGGCGGGUCGGUGAACGGGCGAAUCACCACCAUCCACCGAGGACAGGGCACCGCCGACGGCACCGCCACCAUCACCGCCGCCGCGACCGUCAGACCGAUCACACACGCCCCCACCGCAUGCGCUGCAAACUGUGCACGUGGCUGGGACGCCAAGCGGCGGCAGCUGACGUCAAACAGAUCCCACGCCGCCACCGUCUUCACCACAGCCGCAUGUGCCGUACGGCCAGCCGCCUCCGCCACUGACAACGCCGCGACCCCCGUCGGGCUCCUCGACAGCAGCUGCACCGCCCAUAUCCGCAACGUCGCGUCCAGUCCACGACACCACCACGAGCUGACGACGGUGCUGCCGCACUUACCGCCGUCAUCUGCCUCCCGGAGCGAGCCAUGGCGCCCUUUACCUCCUCCUCCUCCCCCCGCCCCGCCUCCGCCUUCCGCCGUGGCUCGCAGCACCACCACUCCCAGCACCAGCAGCAGCUGCAUGGCCACCAGGUUCCGGAGCGAGGCCUUGAGCUCUACAAACCAGAGCUCAUGGACCACGAAUUGGUGCAUGCCGUCGGCGUACCGGUCCGCGGACACUAGCCCCCACCAACGCUCGCCGCCGCCGCCGCCGCCGCCCUCCACCUCCUCCUCCGGGACCGGCAGCGGCCGCACGUCCGCGUGGGUAAGCCGUUGCGCGUGCCAGGAGCGGUCACUCCCCGGCUCGUACCUGGCCGCCACCUCCUCAGCGUAGUCCGUGGCGUUGGCCACGACCGCGCGCAGCAGUAGCAGCUCAUCCCCACAGUGCCUCUUGCAGCCGUGAACCCAGCGGUGUACGGCACCUCUCCAGAGGAAGGGCCGUCCCGAGGAGAACACCUGCGUGCCCUCCGCAACCCCAGCCUCCCCCGCACCACCACUUCCCUCCUCCCGUCCUUCUUCCUCCCCCGACGGCCUGGACCACACUGGGCCCCCCCCCGGGUGAUGCAGCUGGUCCGCAGCUGGGUGGGGAAUCCACUCGGACAGCAGGCUGCUGCCCUCCGUGAGGUAGAUGCGUGGCGUUACCCGGGGGCGCAGCCAGGGCAGAGCUGCCGGCUGCACCAGCGACGUGAAGACCCACCAGCGUCCCUCCACAAGUACCGCAGUGGUGCCGCUCAGCUGGCCGCUACCGCCUACCUCCUCCCCAGGACCCCAUGAGCCGCUGCCGCCGCUUGCACCGCUGGCAGCGCGUUCCUCCUCCCCAUGCCGCAGCAGCGCUGCUGCUCCGUCCCAUGACCCACGGGUCGCAGCAGUCCCGGAGUCGGGAUUCCCCAGACGCCGGGCGGAGGUGGCUGUUGCUGCUGCCCCAGGGCCUCCAGCUGCGUUGCUGGUAACAGCCGUGUCGGGGCUACUGCUGCUGCUGUCCCCCGCUGCAAGGGAGGAAGGGAUGAGGGGGCCGCUCAGGGGCCGCCAGCCCAGCGGGAAUUCCACGGCCGUCGUAACGUACGCCCGCAGGCUGCUGCCACCGCGGCUGCGGCUGCUGCCGAACCAUGACGGGCUGGACUGUGCGUUUGGAAGCAUGACGUAUAGCUUGCUGGGCGCGUCGUACACCACGAACGGCGAGGAGAGGGACGUACGGCGGUCCGCCAGCGCGACCCCUGCGUGGCGCCAGGUGACGCCGCCGUCGUGGGAGACGGAGGCGCCGAUUUCGCUGUUGUGGGUUUGGAGGUUCCGCAUUUCGUAGAACACAGUCCAGGUGGAUGCUUCCAGAGGUUCAUCGUCUGUCGAGUGUGUGGAACGGUGUCAGGGGAAAGGGCCGGUGGAGCCGCGUACAGCAGGGCUUUUUGGUAAACUGAUCAAACUGUAUUUGGGGUAGUUAUGAAAUAAGACACGUUUGUCAAAGGCCGAGGUGCUUUUGUUAGUGGUGUUGUGUGGCCAUGGCUUAGAAUGCCACGGGUUUAUGGUAAGGGGCUGGGACACGAACAAGCCACAGAGUCCGCCUCAAGACUUUGCGGGAAACGAACGCAUGAAUAGCCAAAGACGCGGGUGUGCUUCGCAUCGCCACCACCAGGAGCAUUGGCUUGUGAGCAUCCAAUAAGACGGUGGUAGAGCUAAUGGUCUUUCCCGACAAGAAACGGUUUGUAAACGCCUCCUCGCGCACCGACCCGAAUUCCGACAGGCUUACCCCCGGGUACGUGCACGAAAGGCGCUCUUACAUAGCUAACGCUUGCCGGGGUGACAUCAGCGCAUGUUAUGAGGGGCUCUGUUGAAAUGUUGAGCGCCAUGGGAUUGGGUCCAGAGAAGCUGCCGAUUUUCCAUGAGCCUUCAUAGUCCCAAGAGCACGGAUCGACGCCGUGUCGCACUGGCUUGCUAGUGAAAAGCUCCAACCCAAUCCAGCCAGAAGGUUUAUUGAAGUAAGGGUCCAAACUUAGCACGACGAGCAGGAUGACGCUGCCGAUGAGGUACGCCGACCAAUACAAAUUGACAGCCGGGCCGCUGCGAUUGUUCCUACUGAUGAAUCCUGCCAUAGUUCAAUAGUUACAAUAGCCCGGAGACACUUCGCAGCAGGAAAACACACGGUGCCUGGCGGCGAUAUUUAAAAUUGAAGUGCAGUUAAUGCUUUCGUUACGAUAUCAUGUUGUGCUCGUAUACAUAGAAAACAGAGGCUCGGAUCAAGCAUUGCCCGCGCCAUUUAAAGAAACCGUGCACGCUCACUAAACAUCCCAACUUCGGAAAUUGUGAACUACUCAUACAUGCCAGAUAGCCUGCAAAUAGCGAUGAAUAAGCUACGACAUAGCCGUUAGGUUGUCGCUCAACCUAACAGCACGUCGUGCUAUUGUCGCGCUUCUGUCGUACCGGUAAUCGCAGCUUCAAGGAGGCCCCGCAGCGCCAAACCCCCGUAUUUGGGUUUCCAGCCGUUCACAAUCCGAAGGUUCCAUUGACAGAAGCACUAGGAUGACCCGAUAAGCGCUAUAAGCUGCAAUCCGAUAGGCGCUUGGCAGGCCAGGCAGGCCAUAUGCCUUUUACCGUUGGUUAAACCGUUGUAAAGUCCGCCUUUCUUACACUGCGAAUUACUUUCAGAGAAUCCUUUUGGCCAUUGCCUCCUUCGCUUGAAUGGACAGGUUUGCUUGGUACAGAGGUUGUACGAUGAAUAAUGCCCUACCUAGGGCCCUACGCUGAACAACGUGGGUUCCAUGCAAGGCGACACCCAAAAAGUAAUCACAGUAUGAAAUAUGUUGUAUUGCCAGGCCCUACCUGGUGCUGCCCCGCCGCCAAGAAGAAUUCGUAAGAGCCCCUGGGGCUAAAUACGGUGUACGGAUGGGAUUAACGGGCGAUGAAUAGUACGCUUGUAUAGGGGUCGUGUAGGGUGUCGUACUUCAAGGGUUGUGUAAAGUUUAGGCAUCAUAUAUUUUUCGCUCUACCUUCCUUGGGACUCGUAAGCACAGCGGAUGCCGGACUUGGAGUCUUCGGACAAGCAGCGGCAAAACUCCCUUGCCAUCAUCAUCAUCAUCAUUGCACUCAUCGCAGGGUAGGAAAAAAGAACUUAAGGGUCCCUUUCGCGGCAACCUCCGAGAUAAGCCGUCGUCAUCAGCGGAGUAAUUGCAAGCGGAUUUUAAAAAAAUAAAAAAAACCUGCUGCCUUUCAAGCCCUAGAACUCACUAAAAAUUCCUCUGUUGUAACUUUCCUAUCGCCGCACGCUCUACGGAACAUUCCUGCAUAUUGCCUCAUCGCACACUGGCCUGCCAUCACCGCCGCCAUUUCUAUAUACCACGUCUGACGUCCCCGCUAUCCUUAUGUAUCUUACAUACAUAUAUACAUACAUGCGCCGUCCCGCUGCAUGGCAAAAUGCGGCGAUCGACCACAGCUAUCGAUGCCGCCAUCUCGUCCGCAGCGUACUAGUUCUGCCUGCUGCUGCUGUCGGUCGGUUUGCCACCUUGGGCCGCCACCAUGGCAGCACGGCGCGACAGUGCUCCGCCGCUGCGUUCAUCACCACUUGGUAGGUGCCGUCCUUCAUCUCCGCACAUGCGGCUGCGAACGUGGAUUUGCUGUGCUCGUAGUUGGCGGCUCGGGCGCGAAUGGAGGUACCGUUCGCCAGCUGGACAAGCUGUGUGUACGGAGAAGGGCGGGGAAAGGCCCGUACGGCGCAAAAGGACUAAUCAUGAAUAAUAUAACCACAAUAAUCAUAAUCAUUUAGGCCUUCAUCACUACACCUUUACAACCCAUAACGGCAUAUCCACGAAUUUGCCAUCUAUGCUACCAAGUAUUCCCACCCACACGCACAUUCCGCUGCAGCCUUCCACUUCCUUACUGCCCAGCACCUGCCUAGCGUUACCUUUUCCAGAGGGGUAGGAGCUGCGGCCAACCGGCUUCGUUUGUAGCUGGCCAUGGAGGGCUCGUGUGGCCGGUGCACCAUCCACACAUCAUGAAGACACCGGAAGUGGUAGUCCAGUUUGUGCAGAUAGAACGUGUUCACAAUCUUGUCCCGGUAAUACCCUCUUUGGAUUGGAUGGUCAAAUAGAGGCACACGGCUCAAUAGGCAGCAUGCGAGGGUGUCCACGCGUGUUUUUUUCUAUUUUGAGUUUCUCUCACGUGUAUGAACAUGCGUAAGAGACAGAUAGGCGCGCCGUUUCGUCAUGUAACCGGGGGAGGGGUCUUCUGCCGAGCCGUUCUUGGGCAGUUGAGAGCAGUGCGUGCGUGUCGUGUGCGUGUCGUGUGCACACACAAGCAGGCAAUCACCAUGCAUCGAGCUUUGCGUUUGGAUGCCACGGCGCGGCUUCGCACCUCGUAAUGCUGCAUACGACACGGGAACAAGCUGUCGGUUCGGCUGGGAAACACAAACGCCAGUGUACGCGUGUACGCAGAACAAUUGAGGAGGAAGGGGUUUAGGGUGGGGCGCUACGAGGACACGGGCAGAGCAGCCAACGGGUAGAGCAUUCACCGACCCGUUCACCUAUAUGCCGUACAUUCACUCACCUAAAUCGGGAAUCGUACGGCGGCAGCGCAAUCCUGUGGGGCGAGUCACGCGCGGGAUUUGGCUGGUGAUCAAGGGCUCAGUCGUACAGUAGUACGGCUAUAGUACGGACAUCUGAAAUGUCGCGACAGCAACAUAGAAACCUGCGCAGCAAGGCGGCAUAUAUGCCACGUCCGGACGUCGCGGGAGGCCAAGGAUAUUUUCUCUCGCUAUGGACAGCGAGCAGCACCACACCUGCGCCUUUCUAAAUUUAAACUUUGUUUUUACGGUAUACACUUAUUACUAAAGUCGUAUGGCAUCAUACGACAUCGUACGACAUCGUACGACAAUAUAUAGCAUGCAGCGUGCAGUAUCCGCGAGCGCAUAGUAGUAGCGAUCCACUUGCCUAUCGCCGAUGAAGAAGGGCUCGUAGCCCUCCCUAUAGGUGAUGCUGUAGUCGGUGUUCGACUGCUUCCACUGCUCGUAGUCGGUGGGGCCAUGGCCAGCAGUGAAGCCAUGGAUGCCGUACGGAUAGAUAUUUGAUCUGUUGCGCCACAUCUCCAACAGCUGAGCCUUGGCGUCGGGCCCCCCUGGCCAGUACGAGCAACGAAAGGGUUUGGAAAGUCCAAAUCCAGCAGGUGUACGGCUUCCAGUCAUUAUUAUGUAUGGAAGGAACCAAACCCAGCAAGCAAGCAUUAAAGACGUGGAAUGCAGGAAGCAGGUAUACAAGGUGAUAUAAACAAAAAGGAAAGACGGUAAAUUCAGCGCUAACAUAAUGUGACAAAUGUGUGUGUGCAUGUGUGCAUGUGCAUGUAUAUAACUGUGGUGUUGUUGGAAAAAACACUCCCAUUCCAGGAGAUAGGAUUGUUGGCGUUACCGCUAUGUAUGGCCACCGAGGUGCGGAGCUGAGCAUCCACCACCUUAUAGCCACCAGCUUGAGAUCAGCUUCACCUGCCCUCACCUGCGACCGCGGCGUCUACUGCUGCUUGGCGGUCCCGGAAGGGCAGCUUGUCGCUGGUGUCGAAGAUGGGGACGACCCACACCGUGCGUUCCUCCGUAGCCUUCCGCUUGAGCUCGGCCACUCUGCACAGCACAGCACAGCACACAGUUAAGGGACAGCAUAGAGAAGCGCACAGCGUAGCAUAACAGCAACACAGCACAUUAGCAUAGCAUAGCAACACAGGAGAUGUGCUGUGUUGUGCACAGCACAGCACAGCACAGCACAGCACAGCAACACAGAAUCGCACUACAGCGCACACAGCACAGCAGUGCAAAGCAGAACACAUCACGGCACAGCGUUCCCCCAUACUCCCAUCCCCACACCAACCAGGCAGACGGUACUGUCUACAUACAGCCAUGCACGAGGUGCGACUUCCAGGGCUGCCGGCCUCCAAGCAAGCGCCAUCACUCGCGCAGGAAGCCCUACCUGGCCUCGUUGACGAGCACCUCCGCGGCCAAGCCCCGGUUGAGGGCCAUGUCGGCAUCCACCAUCGCGACCAGUGGUGUGGUGGCGGCGAGCACGGCCGUAUUGCGCAAGAUGUUGAGUGGCAUCAGCGCCGCCAUGAUGUCAUCCGCCACCAGCUCGUACAGCAGCAUCACCCGCAGUACGCAGUUGCUGCUGGUGCUGGUGCUGGUACUGGUGCUGGUACUGGUACUGGUGUCGUCGUUUGCCGAGCUGGACUGUGCAGCAGGCGAUUGCGGCGAAAGUUGUUGGUCCAGGCUGCGGAAGAGGCCGUCGACCUGCUCCGUGGCGUUUCGCAAAGCGUUAAGCUGGCUAGCGUCCAGGUCGGGAAGCGACGAUUGCCGUUGUUGCUGCUCAGGUGACGAGGAGGACGCGGCCUUGGAGGUCGUGUUCGGGGCGAUAAGGGGAAUCCACACUGCCACGGAGAUUGCGCCACCCGGGAAACCGCGGCACUGAGCCUCCACGGACUGCAGCAGCGCAAACAGCGAGGUGUGAGCAUGUUACUCAAGGGCCUUCUUAAGGCAUGCGCAUAUGAUUUUCUGUGCGCGGUUCUCACUUUAAGGCGACCCAAAUCGGAGUGGGUAAACAAGGUGACGGGCAGCCGGGGCUCGCGAUGACUCCACCAGACCUUGUGUAAUCGUAAACUACAGGCGGCAUUUGGCAAGUGUAACGUCGUUAAGGUCGUUUCAACGUGGGCCUUUGGGGUAGGUUAAAGAAGUCACUGUGACGGAAGCAGUAAGUGCCGCACCUUCGACUUGGGCUGUCUGCCAAGUAAGUCUUCAUGUCGAUGGGCUCCGGGCUAAACAUGGCGUUGUAGCAGGACAUCAGGGCAUCUGCCAUGACCUCCUUGGGUUCAUCCUUUGGCGGGAUUUGCCAGGCUGCAAACGCGGCCGCAGCGAACAAGUUCAGCAGCGUUACAAAGACAGAUGCCCGCGUAGCAGAGCGUGCGAAAGGCAUUUGGAUAUUGACGAGAAUUCAGUAAAGUUAUUUUAAUUUUUUGUUUGCUUGUACUGCGUGCAAAGAAACCAGCUAUGCCGCGCUGGUCGUAUCAAGAUCAACGCAAUAACCCGAGCAGAAACAAUACUGGACUUCGUGCUGAGCCGAGACAGCACAAAAGCUUUGUGCUAAGAUUAUAAAUUUUGAUAUGGAAUAUUGAUGUCCAGCUUUCCAGGUCAACUAUGCAACAUGCAUACAGAAGGUCUAUGUCUCUAGCUGGUUUCUAAAGCAUCAGGGGCCAGGAUAUGACAUUUAUAACUAUAUGUUUCACCUUUUUAACUAACUUAUAAAGCACGUCCAUCCCAUAGUCCAACGGGCGAGUUUUUGCUCGCCGUACAUUUAACCGUUCGAUCAUGCAGCUGAAAUUUGCAUGGGGAACCAGAUGCAAUUCGGAUCUUUUUUUAUGAAAUGUCUUCCUCCGUGCGCAAAACUCCGUUGGGAUUGUUUCCGCACAUUUGAUCCAUGCAAUACCGUGAGUGAAGCAAACGACUUAAACCGCAUCCAAACACAGAUUUUGGGGCGAUAAAUUAUCCAAGGUAAGGGUAACAUAAAUUCCUGUUCUCCGCGCAAGGAACACGGCAAUCCUGUCGAGAUGCGAGGUAAAUGCCACGUAUCGAACGGUGUUUGCGGGAAUAUCGCAUCAUUUUGAAAUGUGCAGCGAAGGGAUGAACAGGAACCAUCAGCAUCCCAAAUCAGCAUCCUGGAGGAUGUGGAAACGGGUAUAAAUAAGGGCUUCAAACCUGCAGCACCAGGACUUCCAACCUGUUCGCCUUGCCCUUCAACUCUCUAUCCUUCAAUCCACCCUAAAAUUACACGCCUAGGUACUGCAGCAGACUACAGGGUUUCCGAUGAGUUACUGCGCUUACGCGGAAGGUGGUUCGACGAUUCUCUGUAUUCCGCGCAGAUGAUUUGGCGUAAUUGCCGUAAUUUCUACAGUCCCGGAAAGCAAUUCAGGGCAUCAACGCAUGCUGUUGGCAGCGUUUUGAAGCUGACACGAUAUCCUUAAACAUUACUCAAGCAAGCGCGCAAGUAAGGUCACGCACGAAGAUCAAAGGAGCUAAGGACUAUAUUCCCUCGAAUGGCUUGCACGAUGGUCAGCGCGGAUCGUCACAUCUGGAGUUCACUUAUAUUGCCCAGCCGCUGUCUGCUCUUGGUCUCGUCGCUGAUCGUUCCCUCUUUUCCUUGAAGUUGCAUCUGCGCCUCCUUUUUGUUGAUGCGAAGGGAUGCCGUGUCGCCCAGUGUUUCUUCCCAUUUUUGCCGGUUAAUUUUCCAGUCCGAACGGAGGAAUAGGUUUUUAGUCGCGGGAAUAAAAGUAUUCCGAAUCUGUAAGGCCCCCAGACCCCCCCCCGAUGAGUUACAGUUCGUGCAAACGCCGGUUUGGGGAAUGUCGCAACACGCGCACACCACAAUCUCUCAAGCACUGAUCGAAUAGAGUUCGUUCACCAUCGUUCGUCUUGCAUCACGUUGAAAGAUAACACUACACGACUUUCCGGGUUGCAAAAGUAAUGAAGCAUAGCAGCCAUGAACCGGAACCACCAAACGCAACCUGUUUCCUGGCCCAUCGCGAUUGUCUCCAUAUGAUGAACGUUGAUGUUUGGCCCGCUCGCUGUUGGCAACCGGAGUGGCGUCGUUGUCGUCGGCUGGCUGCAGCAUUGCGUACACAUUACCUACGACCUCUACACCUCCUUCAUUAACCUCGCUAAUGGCCUCAGUGAAGUUUUAUAUCUGCUUUAAUGGCCUUCCAAGCUUUGGGAGCUUCGGGUCCGAAUAUUUUGCAGCGUUCGGUCCGGUCAGAAACAGUUCGAUUCCUCGUUGACUUUCGGGCGUGACCUUCCUAACAGUAUCCAUUGUUGAAGAAAUUGUUGUCCGGUCAGUCUGUCGCCUGGUGCUUGCGUGAUAGUUGGUUUCUGGAUUGGCUCGGAGCCAUCUUCCGUACCUGCUGAUCGACUGUCGAACUCGUCAAUAAAUAGGAAUGAGCGAUCGUUUAUCUUUGGUCUGGUAUGCUUCUAGGGUAGUGAGUUUGUGGCUGAGCUGAGCCGUUAGUUGCUUUUGUAACCCUCUGGCAAUCACUAUUGCAUCCGAUCCACUUAGCCUUCAACAUCCAUGGCAUUAAAGUACUAUGAUAUGGUUAACAUGUAUGUCUCCUGUAAGAUUCUAGCGGCUUUGGCAUGAGGAAUGAACUCGAGGAAUGAACUUGUACGGUCGGAACAUUAUUUUUUAUUAACUUUCGUGACCACGAACAAUUUUUUACUCCAAAUUCGGAAAUUAUUCCGCAAAAAAAUAACGCUGGCGUCGCCCCGUGGCCUGUUAAGGCCACAUGGCAGGCUGUUUAGGUAACGGUUGUGGCCUGUUUAAGGCCGCCCGUCAGACUGCUGUGAGUGUCGGUUGUGGCAUAUGGAAGGCCGCCCGUCAGACUUCUGUGAGCAACGGCUGGCAGUUCCUAGAGUACUGCCAGCUCGUCCAUCAGGAUAUGCUUCCCAAGCCUUUAAAAGGCUCUGCUGUUUACCUCAGAUUCAUACGUUUACGCCUAGGCAACGACCUCCUGAAUAUGUGUAACGGCCAAUGACUCAUAGUCGUGUCUGCUAGGUCCCAGUGAGAUGGCGUCUCACCAACAGGUUAUGAGCCCCGGGUACCGGUUCCCGGCGGUUACUAUCUGUAGUUGCUUCAGCUUGAGCAGUCAGGCUCGCUAGGCAACCAUCAUGGGGAAUGGAUGUAAGACAAUGGAGGAAGACGCACCCUGGAGACACACAGGCGCUCGGCUACCUGCGGCUGUCCUGUGAACUGCCCAUAAAGCAGUUGCUCAGGAAUUGUCAGACUACUCUGCAUGGCAGAAGCAGCUGAGCAUGCAGAAGCAGCUGAGCAUGUGAGAACGAAGUCCGCUGACCGCUGACUUCAUUCAGAACAGCAGAACAGCUCCACAGCGAUAUAAUUUCGGCUGGCGGCCAGUGAGAUGAGAGUGCAAUGCAUCACACCACAACUCGUGUUCAUGCUGCGGGAGAAGGAGAACUACCUGAGGCUGAUUAUACCACUACCUCUCAACCAAUUAUGGAUUACUCCACAUCAACUACAACUACGUCUUUCAUCGUCUAAAUCUCUCUCUGGAGCCACCAAGGGGAGGUACCACUACAAGUGCAGCCAGACAGAGCACAGUUAAGUUUAAUGCAGCCGUCCCCAUUGCUGCCAACCAGGAACCGGUGGCACCACCCACAAAUUUUGCUGCUGCUGUGGGAUGUAACUGCAGAACAACAACCAGCACAGUGCACCAUCUGGGCUGGGCCCAAUGGAAGGGCACCCGACUGUACUGUGCAUACGGGUUGCAAGGAGACAGUGCUCUCCUGCCUGGUCUUACCAUUGGUGUUACAGUUUGGUAUGAUGCACCCAGUAUGUUGCAGACACCGCACUGCACAGCAAUGGGGGAUGAUACACCCCAGCCAGCCACAACUUUGUUUCACAGUCGCUUAUACAACAGCUCCAUGCUCGAGUGGGGAAUACAACCUUCUCACAUGUGAGUUUAGCCGAUGGUGGUACCACACCUAUCCUCGGCCAGACCUUGCUAAGACUUAAGCAGGUUCCAGCACUGAUAUUGCCUAACCUGACGGCGGCAGCAAACAUAAUCGUUGGAGUGCAUACCAUGACGGUGUAUAAAGUCUGGUUUCACAAAAGGAACCUAUCCUGUUGCGUCCAAUUUGGUCGGAUAAGCAAGCAGCGACAGGAUAUGCUGACAGCAGUAGCUGCGGUGGUGCCUACACGUGAAGUUCAUCAUGUAAUUGCUGUGUUCAUGAAACGAGCAAGUGUCAAAUUGGCAAGUCACAAAGAAGUGAAGAGCCUAAUGUGCAAGGGGCCACAUACUUUGCUUGUCUGACCACUAGUAUGAGCUGAAGCAGUACUGUUUCAGGCAGCGGCCUGAGCACAAACAAAAUCGGGUGAAGUGCAGGGUCAGUGGUGGGUCACCGCUGCUGGUCACCACUGCCGCAGUCAAUGCUGGACAGACGAAAACCCAGAAUCCUCAGCAUUGUCUGAGUCAUAGCGUGCCACAAGUAUUGGGCAGACACAAAACCCGGAGUCCAUACCUACACUGAAGCACUGCACAAUCAACGCUAUUGAGCAGACCCUAGACCUGGAAUUCAAAGCUUUGAUUGCAAAAUAUUGAUUGCAAAAUACGAAGUGAUCUUUCAGGACCUGAAGGGGCCACCACCACACCAACCUGUGGAACAUACAAUUCUGUUGCAACCAGGCACAACACCGAUAUCAUGCCCACUGUAUCCCUUAACUCCUGAUGAGCUGGAGGAGGUGAAACGUCAAGUAACCGACUUAAUGCAAAAGGGGAUGAUUCACCCUAGUGUAUCUCCGUGGGCAGCUCCAAUCCUCUUCGUGGGAAAGAAGAACAGAACGCAUGGUGGUGGAUUAUCGAGGGCUGAACACCGUGGAUAGACAACUUGGUGGAUAGCCUGGGAGGUAGUAUGAUCUACUCCUCCAUCGACUUACAACAAGGAUAGCACAAAAUUAAGAUUCGGCCUGAGGAUGUUCCGCUGACAGUGUUUCACACACCUCAAGGACACUAUGAGUAUGUUGUCCUGCCGUUCGGGCUGACAAAUGCCCCAGCCACGUUCCAAGUGGUGAUGAACCGAAUCUUCCAGCCCUUUCUCGGCCAGUUUGUCAUGGUUUACCUGGAUGAUAUCCUGGUGUAUUCCCGAGAAAUCGCAAAGAACACUUAAAACACCUGGAAGCCGUGUUCGAAGUGCUAAAACGGGAACAGUUACAUGUGUGUGUGUUACAUGGUUGGGGGUGCGUGACCCCAUACCUGUAAAGACUACCCAUACAAGCCGAAGGCCCAAGGGCAAGUUACAUGCGAAGUCGUCCAAGUGCCACUGGGCGCAAACUCAGAUUGAGUACCUCGGUCACAUCAUUAGUGCCGACAGAGUUUGCAUUGAUCCUAAGAAGAUGAAGGCUGUCCGUGAGUGGCCAUUGCCAAAGAAUGUAUCCGAGUUACUGCAGUUCUUGGGACUUACGAACUAUUUCUGAAAGUUCGGUAAAGCUACGGUUCGCUUUCGGCUCCCCACACAGACAUGCUACAUGGAAACGGUCAAGUCCGUCUGGAAGACUGGACACCUGAACGGGUAUGAGCCUUUGAGGUGGUGUAAAACGCGUUGGCAGACAAUGUACUGCUAUGGUACCCGGACAUGACUAAGCCCUUUACGUUCGAAGUGUGUGUGGUGUUGUUACAGUGGGCUCCAGACUCCCGAAGAGUAGUGAUCUUGGACGCGUCCUUCCACGGUACAGUUGCAAUUCUACUGCAGAACAGAAAACCAAUUGCCUUCCCUAGCAAAAAGUGCACUCCAGCGGAAUGGAACUAUACCACAGGUGAGCAAGAGCUACUCGGUGUAAUACACGCACUUCAAGAGUGGUGUUGCUACCUGGAAGGACCACAUGAUGGGGUUUUAGGGUUUAGUUUAAGGUCGUAACCGAUCAUCAUCGGUGACGCGAAUGCAAACGCGCCAAACUCUGAGAACCCGCAUCCUAACUGGGUAUGACAAGGACCAGUGGUUCCUCAAAACCUCGCGGACUUGGAAAGAACGCAGGACGGAUUUUGGCUCAAGAUUUUCCCUGAUGGCAAAACAUGUAUACCAUAUAUAUGGCAGGACACCUGGGAAUUCACCGCACAUUGGAACUAGUGCAACGCAAUCAUUGGUGGCCCAAUGUUGCUGCAGAUGUACGGCACUUAGUCCUUGCUUGUGACAAAUGCCAACACAAUAAAGCUUGGACAGGCAAGCGGCCUGGCUUGUUGCAGCCUUUACCAAUCCCUGAAAUGCCUUGGAAAUCCCUGAAGUGCCUCCAUGGAUCUCAUUACAGGCUUGCCCCGUACGGCUCGCCAAUUCAAUGCUAUCCUGGUCUUCAUUGAUCGUCUCACGAAGAUGGCCCACUUUGUUCCGGUACAGAAAAGCGUGACCGCAGAAAAAACCGUGAAACUCUUCCUCCACCACGUGGUCCGGCUGCAUGGUGUGCCAAAACAGACGGUUUCCGAUCAAGGUUCACAGUUUGCCAGUCGAUUCUGGCAAGAACUGGUAUGAAUGGUUAAUACCGAUCCUGCUCUCUCCAGUUCAUUCCACCCUGAGACGGAUGGACAAACAGAAUGGAUGAACCGAGUCCUGGGAGACAUGCUUCGCAACUAUUGUGAUACAGAACCACGCUUGUGGGAUGAAGCGUUACCCUUGGCUGGAUUUGCCAUUCAUAACGCCGUGAAUCGGGCAACGAAGCAAACCCCGUUCUUCCUCAAUUAUGGGUGGCACCCAACAAGACCAGCUUGCAACGUGCCAGCCGCAGCUGGUACGGCUGAGUCUCUGGAAAGACGACUUCAAGCAGCUAAGCGAUGCCUGAAAGCAGUCCAAGAUCGGACCUGCAUACUACAACACGGAUAAGAAACCAGCCAAGUACCAGCCGGUUGAUUUACUCCUACUGAGUAUAAAAAACUUACAAGCAGACCCGAAGGUAUCCUGUAAAUUACAACCCCGAUGGAUUGGACCUUUUCCCGUGGAUAAGAUGGUGGGUAAAGCUGCUGUGGGCUUAAUCCUUACCCUGAAUCUGAAGAUUCACAAUGUAUUUCACGUAAGUCGCAUCAAACCAUACAAGGCCGAUGGACCGUUCCACCCCAUUCCACCUGAGACAUUGCCUGCUUGGCAGGGUACUUCUGAGGAUAGUUAUCUGCAAGUUGAGAGAAUACUUGAUUACUGACACCGAAAGGUUGGCAAAAACAUGUACACGGAUGAAUACCUCAUACGGUGGCAAGGAUACUCAGACGAGCAUAAUAGCUGGGAACCAGCGGAUCAUUUUACCCCUGACAUGACAGCUGAGCUGGAGUCUGUACGACAACGGACUUGCAGGGACGUCAAGUCCUAAAGGGUGGCAAUUUUGUGGUAACACAUGCGUGACAUGCAUAGCCACGUCUGAGAAGGACUUAUUCAAAAUGACAGGCUAGAAUCCAACGGUCGUGAUUGAUUAAGGGACUUCAGCCAGUCACUGAUUGACAUUCCAUCGGUUUGAUGACCAUUCUGCUUGACAGCGGAGCAGGACUGCGUCCUAUUUAAAGGCAGCCUGAGGCUGAUUAUACCUCUACCCCUCAACCAAUUAUGGAUUACUCCACAUCAACUACAACUAUGUCUACUCUUCUCAGAGUGGAGUCUUUGAUCGUCUAAACCUCAACUCUGGAGCUGCCAAUGGAAGGUACCACUACAACCGCUGCUGGAGCUAGGUGUGCAGCUGACAUGCAUGCCACCUUGUGCUGCGGUACGACACACAACCACCUCACGCCCACAUGGCACUCUUCUCACAUCCCACCACCCACUGCUCGUUCUCCUGGUCGGUGUAGGCCAAUGACCAUUGAGUAGCACCCAGGCUUGUGGUGUGCAGUUACCCAACCCAUUAAUGCUGAUGUGCACAACAUGCAACUAUACUCACCUGUGACAAACCAAAGGGGUACCUGCGCCACCUCGGGACUGCCGGCAUUUAGGCAGGAAAUGGUGGGUGUAACUAAAACCGCAACACAAUAUGUGUGGGCAGGGGGCUAGAUCAUUUUGGAACCCAAGGAAAACCGAGAAACCCAAACCUGAGCCAGCCCAAACCCAAGGACAAAACUGAUACCCAGAGCCCCAGACAAUUCGACCCAGAUAGUGUGAAGGAGGAUUGGCCUUAACAUUUGCCUUGGACACCCUUCAGCCUUGUUCUUCUGGUCGGUGUAGGUCAUAGAAUGUCAAUUCAGGGAUGACUUUAGGGCAAGGAAGCAUGGUGGGGGGCACCAUGCCCGGUCAGAGGAUGAAAGGGAGAGGGAGAUGCCCAACCCUGACCACGGUAGGGGUGGUUUGGGUGUGCAAGUGCGCCACCUCACCCAUGAGACUCAUGACAGCCUGCACCAAUGCUCUUCCCCACCCUCUCCCCCUUCCCACUUUCUUUCUUCUGAACACACAGGCCAUCACUGCCACCCCGUUCACACUGGUGAACACCUACCAGCAGCAUUGCUGCCUGCCCAAGCACAACACCCUGGGUUCUGAUGCAUAUGCAUCAGAGUGCUCUUUAUUUAAAUAAAGAGCACUCAAUGCAUGCAGUUGGCACUACUUACCUGCAGGGCCAUGCUUGUAGGGCCCCUUGCCGGUGGUGCUCUUGAACUUGACAUGCUUGUUGUGAAGGUCCCUGAAGGUGAUGUCGCCCAGCACCUUCACAAAGGCUGUGUCGUUCCUGUAUGUUCUCAGGCUGCAUCCCAAGGCCGCAAUCAAACCACCUGUCACAAUGCAUGGCACCGGGUAGCUCAGUUCACACCAAUGGUGGAUUCCCAUCGUGUGUGACACAGAGGCAAACUCACUUGUGCUGCCCCAUGGAUGACAGCCUCUUUGGCAGCAGUGACUAAUUUAGCACGUGCAGAAUGAACUCAUCCUUGUUGCUGCCCUUCAAGAAGCAGGUGUGCUGGAGCUCAUACUCAUGCUCGAUGGCACUGCACCAAAUGAUGCCGUUCUGGGAGCAUGCAACAUCAUGGGCAGCGAAUUCAAUAUCAACGGCUCCCAGAACGGCAUCAUCUGGUGCAGCACCAUAGAGCACAAGUAUGAGGUCCAGCAUAUCUGCAUCUUAAAGGGCAGCGACAAGGAUGAGUUCAUUCUGCACAUGCUAAAUUAGUCACUGCUGCCAAAGAGGCUGUCAUCCAUGGGGCAGCACAAGUGAGUUUGCCUCCAUGUCAUGCAUGAUGGGAAUCCACCAUCAGGCACGGACUGAGGUACUGAGCUACCUGGUGUCAUGCAGUGUGACAGGUUGUUUAAUUGGGAAUGGCCUUGGGACACCUCCCAUGAACAUACAGGAACGACACAGCCUUUGUGAAGACACUGGGCGACAUCACCUUUGGGGACCUUUACAACAAGCACGUGAAGUUCGAGACCACCACCGGCAAGGGGCCCUACAAGUGUACUCUGGCCCUGCAAGUGGUAAGUAGUGCCAACUGCACACAUUGAGUGCUCUUUAUUUGUGGCUGCCAGCUCCCCAUGUUACUUCAAGCACAUCCUGAACCUGAACUGUGAAACCCCCUGGCUCCAUGCAUUGGAACCCUGCACUCAUGGUAAGGAUUGUGCAGACUGCUUUGUAGAUUGUACGGAUUGUAUGGACGGCUUCGACCCAACAGAGUACCUCUUCAACCACGUGUUGCAGCACGAUGGCAAGGAGGAGCUCGUCAAGAUGUGGCUGAGCUGGCUUGACACCGGAAGCAUCAUGGAGAUGGGGGCCGAGUUGUCCCAGAGGAGUCGGUGGAUGUGGAGGAGGAGGUGGAUGUGUAGCAAGGGGGCCCUUAGGCCCAGGCAUGCAGGGUCUCAGGAAGUGGUGUGACCCAGGAAGCAGUGGACCAGCAGGGCACCUGGGGCAAGUCACAUUGAUUACAUUGUUGCUACUCAGAGGUGGGCUGGAUGGACAUGUGUGGUUCUCCAUUGUGUGCCGGAUGAAAGUGUGCUGACAUGCAGCUGCACCCAGUGGUGGGGCUGGGCGGUAGAACAGCAAAGCUCCACGUAAGAGUAGACAUGGCACCAGCACCUAUGGCUAGGUUAUUGACUCUGACACACAUUGACCAUAUGAGUCACUGCAUGACAAAGAACCGGGCAGCUAGGUCCAUGCUGACAGAUGUUCAUUUUGGGGGGCUAAUGUUUCACCUUUUGACUCCUGGUCUGUAGCUCCUGCCACAUUUGCCAGGUGCUGACUGGCUUAACACGGACCUGGGUGACUAGGAGAUGCAAGUUUGGGGCUCAGCAAGGGGAUUGGGAUGUUGCUGGGGUGGGGGCGGGGGCCCAGGGCAGCUGGUGGGUGGUGGGCUGGGGGUUGUGACCGCCCCCUGGGCCCCCGCUCCUGCCACCACUGCAGCACAGUGCAGCAGGCCUUGGGUUACCCAGCAGCAUCUCCAUCAGCAUGUGAUGCAUUUCACUCACUCACUCACCUGUGCAUGUCUGAUGAUGUCCUGGGCUGACAUGGUGCUGUGGGCAGCCUCGAACACAUCAGCCACAAAGCGCAUCAACAUCCCAUCACAUAGCAAUGUGACACAUGCCUGAUGGUGCCGUAUGAUGGGAAAGCAUGCAAUGUAACCAAAUGAGUGGGGGACGGCAGAUGCACACACGAACACGUCAAAGCAGUGCAGUCAAAGCAAGUACAAGGGCCACAGGAGGGCCCUACCUCACCUCCACAAAUAAUUUCUGACGAAAACAUUGCUGAGUUGGCAUCACGACCCGUUUGGAUAAUGGGGACGUCCGAAUGCUGCUAUGAACAUGCAAGGGGGCACAGAAGAAAUGCGGCAACCAACAUGCUGCAGGACCAACAUUCAGGAGAGUAGAGUCGUUAACCACAUCCACCUGUGCAGCAGUUAAGGCAAACCAGGGGGAUGCAGUGAGUUCUGGGAGUCAUGGGCCUAGCCAGGACUUAAGGUCAGAACAAGCACUCAGUCAUAGUCACGCAACCCAGCCUGGAUCUUUGCAUCUGUGACACAACCUACCCACACAGUCCUGCAGUGUUGGCACACUUGGAUGUCGUGUGCACGCAAGCCACCAAAUGGCAUCUGUGUGUUUGGCAUGCAGCAGGUGUGCGGAAAGGACUCUAUCACUCCUAGAUGCUGCUUCAUUCCGUGGGCCCAGCCCAAACAAACUUCCCAAGUUGGCAACCGGACUCCCUGAGUGAGUACCAUGUCACAAUUCAAGCCUUUAGGGUGCAUAGCUCGGGACAACAACGUCCCCCUUGGUGUUGACGCUACAGGCAAGCCCCAGAUGUAGGAGGAGAUAUAACUCUUCCUUAGAUUCGUAGUAAAAGGUCACUCGAGUUUCUUCGCAGGAUCCGGGUGUGUAUAUAUGUGGGCUUCCACCUACACCGGAGGCGUGUUGUCCUCCCCUUACCUCGCUGCCUCCCCGUUUCCAGAUCAUCAAGUUCCAGGGCCUCUGCCGUCGGCCGUGAAUGCGAACGUGAACGCGACUUGGAGCCCUACUUGGAGCCCGCGGCCAGCGAGGAGGGCGGGCCGGUAAUAAUGGUGACUGCUGAGUUUGCACAAGUGCAGGACGUGUGGUCGCCGCCAGGUGCUGAAGUACUGGUGCUGUGUCAGAAAGAGCUAUGGACAUGAACAAUAACCGUAACUUUGCGGGUGCCGUAGUAGUCCUGUGUUGUUGGUCGCGCGACUGUCUGAUGGUGCGCUUCAACGCGCCCAUGUUAUCCCGCAGAGCAUUAAGAAUUACUGUAAUGAAGUUAUUGCAGAAGUAUGGGAGCUGGAACUGUCUGAAAUUGGCGAUUUCGUCUCAGCCGGGAUUGAUCCUCAGCGGCCGAAAUGCAGCCCCGCCACUGGUCUUCACAUUUUUUCGGCCCGAAAGCACCAUAAAUUGAUCAGUGUGCAUUAAUAGACGCCAACCGCUUGUCGUUUGCUAGCACGAAGGCGGCGGCCUAGUAAAACUUUGCUCGCCAAGCCGAUAUUUGCUGGCAAGGAUGUUAGAUUGCCUAACGUACUGCGCGUUUGUGUACUGAUGCGUGCCGUGAUUGGGCUUUGGGGCAGCGCUGAAGGUUCGGGGUCAUUGCAGUCUGGGAUGCUGAGGUCACAUAGGUCUGCCAUUGAAAAUCUUAUAUGUACGACACACAUCCCUUCUUUUGUUUAACAUGACAGAGAUGGUUAUCUCGCACAUGCCUGCCUGGCAUGGGCACAUAUUCAGGAGCAUCUCAGUAAAGGAAUACUCAAAACGGGAGCUGCAUACACAGUGCUUGGAAGUGCGUUGUGGGUCAUGUUGCACAUGUCGUAUCGAGCGCCGCAACGGUGCGCAACCAAGUGCGCAAAACUAGACUCAAAUCGGUUUUCCGCUUUCGCGUUGGUAGAGACAUACAACAGGUUAACCAAAGGAAAAAAAGCGAAGAGCUUUUGAAGGGAGCUGUCCGUGUUUCGGUUGUUUUGUUGUUUGUAAUUGCAACUUCAUCGGGAUAACAUUACUCCUCAAUCCCGAUCCGUUAUUGUUAACAAGUUUUGGUGCGGCGUAUUGCCGCGUUUUCGGGCACAUGAGCCGCUCUGUCGCCCGCAUUUUCACGUUGGGACUUGGGAGAGGGUUGCAGCCUUUCUUUAGCACAUUAGGAACAUCUAAUGUCUUAUCGCAUAUAAGGAUCGCGGGCAAGGACCACUGUGGACAUCUUGAUGGUUGGCUAGCGAGGUGCUUUUCAACGGCGCUUUCUCCUGUCUCCGAGCAAGAGCAGCAGGCGCUUUCUUUGAUCCGUAAUAUUGGCAUUUCAGCGCAUAUUGAUUCGGGUAAAACAACACUGACAGAGCGCAUCCUGUAUUACACGGGGCGUAUCCGCGAAAUUCACGAGGUGGGUGUCCACUGUCAAAUGCGCUGAACAUGCUGAUAUUCCUUUCCUUACAUUCUCCCAAAAAUCCAAAGGUUCGGGGGAAAGAUGGCGUCGGCGCUAAAAUGGACAGUAUGGACCUUGAGCGCGAGAAGGGUAUCACCAUCCAGUCGGCUGCAACAUACUGCGCCUGGAAGGACAAGCAGGUGAGCAUGAAGGCGGGGAAAUGGGCCUCGUCAAGUACGGCCUCGUCCGGCAGUAUGACGGCUGCUGGGGCCCAAACUAUCGAAACCACCUUGACGCUAUGCGCAGCUCUGACGCUAUGCGACACGUCUACCACAGUUAACUGAAUUCCCAAUACCCAACAGCUCAGCAACCAGAGACCCCUAAACAUCUCCUCUAUCCUCCACUUCCCACGUCGCCCCAUUUCCUCUCCCCACACACGCAAUCCUUCCCAUCUUCCCAUGUGCCACACCUCCUUCGCGGUCUGUUUGCUGAUCCACGACCUUCCGGCCCCCCCCCGGCAGAUCAACAUCAUCGACACCCCCGGCCACGUGGACUUCACCAUCGAGGUGGAGCGCUCGCUGCGGGUUUUGGACGGAGCCAUACUGGUGCUGUGCUCCGUGGGCGGGGUGCAGAGCCAGUCCAUUACUGUGGACCGUCAGAUGAAGAGGUGGGGCCCUUGCUAAUAGGUGGGAGGGAGGGAGGCGGGGAGGGGAGGGGGAAGGGAGGGAGGGAGGCAGAAAAGGAGGGAGGGAGACGGGUGCCGCAUGACACCAUUUCGUAAGAAAGUUGUGGGAGAAGGGGAUAUCGCAUGUGUGGGUGUAUCACAUGUGGAUGUGUACGGCCCCAACGGCAGUUGAUUUCUUGAGGCUUUACUAGUCGUCAGCACUUGACCCUACCUUGCUUCUUGUGUCGUACGGUUCCCCCUCACCUCCCCCGAUCCGUCUAUCUCUGGUAUCUGCUGCCUCAAUCGUCGGUGGUUGUCUGACCUCCGCCUCUCCCCAGCCCCCCACCCAUACACACACACCCGCAACUCUCCCGUACCCAAACCCAACAGGUACAACGUGCCUCGCCUGGUGUUCGUCAACAAACUGGACCGCGCGGGGGCCAACCCCUGGCGCUGUAUCGACAUGGCACGGGACAAGCUCAAACUCAAUGUAGCUGCCGUACAGGUAGAUCCGAUGUACGGCAGAGUACGUCACUGCCACGAGGAGCUAUCCUGGGCCGAGGGCAUUUAUUACUGCCGUACAGCUGCAGGCCCAUCAGGGCUCUAAGUUCUGUACUGCACUCGUCCUGGCCACUCGUACUCUGCUGCCCCUAACCCCUUUCCCACGGGGACUUAGGACACCAGCAGAGAAAUUCGUUUUCGGACUUUGGACGUCGUGGCAGCUCAUUUCUGGUUUCCUUGCAUGUGGGUUAUUCUCUCUCCCCCCCUACCACCCGCCGCUCUUCCCCCCUUCCCCCUUUCAGAUCCCCAUCGGUUUGGAGGAGCAGCACGCGGGUGUCGUGGACCUGGUCGGGCGUAAGGCCUUUUACUUCGAGGGGCCGAAAGGGGAGAAGGUGAGGUGCGGUGCGAGGGGGGGAAGGGGGAGGGGGGGAGAUGUAGGCAGUAGCAGGAGUGGCAGCAGCAGGAGCAGCUGCUCCUGCUGGCGGUAGCAGCAGCGGAUUCAUUGGUCACUCAUCAGCGGCCGGCGGGUGAUGAUGGGUGGAGGGGAUGUGGAGGGGCCCGCAUGCACGUAAGUAUGGCUUGUUGGGGUGCUUGCGGAGGAUGUCUGAGGCCCGGGGUGGGGGGGGUUGCGGAGCUGCACCCGCUGGCUUCACCUCAUGACACGGAUGCCCCUGGUGCAGUGUGCUCUCUCCCACACCCACACCCAAAAAGGGGUCUUCGUUGCAGAGUGAGCUCAGCCUUGGCACACACUAGGAUGUACGGCACGUACGGCAUCAUUGGGAUGGUGAUCCUCUGCUGGCCCCCCUCUACUUUCCCCCCAUACCUCCUUCAGGUGGUUGAGGGUCCGGUGCCCGACCGACUGGCUGCUGAGGUGGAGUCCCGGCGGAUGGAGCUGCUGGAGAAGGUCAGCGAGGUGAGGAUGCGGCGGGCUGGCGGGCUCAAGUGCGGGUGGGGUGGGGGGGUUGGGGGGUGGGGCGUGAGGGGGUAGGGUUUUUGUUUGAGUGUUCCCACCCGUGGAUGGCAAUUAAUCUAGGAUGGUGAAAAACGGGGGGGGGCCGGCUUGGAGCUGGGUAGCGUGGGGUGGGGGGUAUUGCCCGGGUAUCGCCCCAUAUCAUGGUCCCUUCCCUUUUGGGGGCUUUCGGUGACUUCAUAUUAUCGCUUAGGAGCCGCUCACGGAGGGCAGGACUUGGGACACUUUGGACGCCUUCCGGCAGCAGUUCAUUGCUUCUUGUUUCCCCCCUGCAGCAUAUGACUUCCCCAAACCCACCAAAAAACGCAUUCACACACACACACAUUCACACACACGCAUUCACACACACGCAUUCACACACACACACACUCAACCACCACACAACCAACCAGGCAACCAACCAACCAACCACCCCAGGUUGAUGACUUGCUGGCGGAGAAGUUCCUGUCCGAGGAGCCUGUGGGCCCCGAGGAGCUGCGCGCCGCCAUACGCCGGGCCACGCUGGCACUCAAGUUCCAGCCCGUGUUCAUGGGCAGCGCGUUCAAGAACAAGGGUGGGUGGGANNNNNNNNNNNNNNNNNNNNNNNNNNNNNNNNNNNNNNNNNNNNNNNNNNNNNNNNNNNNNNNNNNNNNNNNNNNNNNNNNNNNNNNNNNNNNNNNNNNNNNNNNNNNNNNNNNNNNNNNNNNNNNNNNNNNNNNNNNNNNNNNNNNNNNNNNNNNNNNNNNNNNNNNNNNNNNNNNNNNNNNNNNNNNNNNNNNNNNNNNNNNNNNNNNNNNNNNNNNNNNNNNNNNNNNNNNNNNNNNNNNNNNNNNNNNNNNNNNNNNNNNNNNNNNNNNNNNNNNNNNNNNNNNNNNNNNNNNNNNNNNNNNNNNNNNNNNNNNNNNNNNNNNNNNNNNNNNNNNNNNNNNNNNNNNNNNNNNNNNNNNNNNNNNNNNNNNNNNNNNNNNNNNNNNNNNNNNNNNNNNNNNNNNNNNNNNNNNNNNNNNNNNNNNNNNNNNNNNNNNNNNNGGGGGAUACGACGAAGCACAGACGAUUGAAAAACGGGGAGGAGGGUAAGACGAGUGAGACACAAGCAGCAGAAGCAGCAUCUGCACAAGAUGGUCCUCCCCUCCUCCCUCCCCGCCUUCAGGUGUUCAGCUGCUGCUUGACGGUGUACUCGACUACCUGCCAUGUCCAACGGAGGUGGUCAAUGAGGUGCGUGUGCGGGUAAAUGUGUAGAAGUGCGUGUGUGUAUGCGUGUGUGUGUGUUUCGUUAAAGAGUGGAAGGAGGCGGAGUCACUUGAGUGCUAACAGUUGGAGUGUACUGUUGUUACCGUUGUUGUUGCAGGGAUUUCGGUCUGACCCCCCGUUGCCCCCUCCCCUCCCCUACGUGUUUUUCUCCCCCCCUGGCCCCCUCCCCCCACUAUCCCCGCCACCAUUCCUUUGCAAGGCCCUGGAUCUCGCCCGGGACGAGCAGCGGCUGGUGCUGCCCUGUGCCCCCGGGGGCCCCUUCGUGGGCCUUGCGUUCAAAUUGGAAGAGGGCAAGUACGGCCAACUGACGUACGUACGGAUCUACAGCGGCACCCUGCGCAAGGGUGAUUCGGUCGUCAACAUGAGCUCCAACAAGAAGGCAGGUGCACGCCCGCCCGGAGCUGAUGUACCCACGUGCUUUCAUGUGCUAAAACCCUGAAACUUUGUAAAACCCGUACCUCUAAAACCCUGAAACCCUAACUUUAAAACCCUGAACGUAACGCCUCCAGGUCCGCGUCCCCCGCCUCGUCCGCAUGCACGCCAAUGAGAUGGAGGACAUUGGCCAGGCGGCUGCGGGGGACAUCGUGGCUGUGUUUGGAAUGGACUGCGCCAGCGGGGACACGCUCACGGACGGGGUGAAGCUGGCCAUGACGUCAAUCAGGGUGAGGGGGGUUUGGCGGGGGUGGGGUGGGGGGAGGUGGAGGGGGGAAGGGAUUUUUGUGAGGGGAGAUUGGGAGGGAAAUGGGGGGAAGCGAGUGAGGGGAUGAGCGGUGAGGGGGAGGGAGGGAAGGAUGGGGGGUUUUAUGGUUGGGUUUUCUUCUUGGGAUGUCGUAUUGGUGUCGUAUUUUCCCUCCUGUCUCUCCCGCUCCUCUCCCCUACGCAAGUUCAGUUGAUCGUAAAUAAGGCCCCCGUGGGGGGUCGUCGUCUCCCCGUGUUGUACAUACUUUGGGCUUAGGGUUUGGCCCCCUCCCCCCAUCCUUUUCUCCCCCUCAUAUGCGAUGAUCCCCUCCCCUCUUCUUUUCCCCUUCCCUCCUCCCCCCCAUCUCCCCUCCCCCCCCCAUCUCCCCUGGCAGCAGCUUCAAUCGCGUGUGGUUCGUCUUUCCCCCAUCUCCCCUCUCCCCCCCCAUCUCCCCCCCCUCCCCCUCGUCCCUCAGGUUCCCGACCCGGUCAUGAGUCUCGCUCUGACCCCCACCAGCGCCGAGCACUUCCCCACCUUCAUGAAGGCCCUGCAGAGGUCCAGAAGGAGGCCNNNNNNNNNNNNNNNNNNNNNNNNNNNNNNNNNNNNNNNNNNNNNNNNNNNNNNNNNNNNNNNNNNNNNNNNNNNNNNNNNNNNNNNNNNNNNNNNNNNNNNNNNNNNNNNNNNNNNNNNNNNNNNNNNNNNNNNNNNNNNNNNNNNNNNNNNNNNNNNNNNNNNNNNNNNNNNNNNNNNNNNNNNNNNNNNNNNNNNNNNNNNNNNNNNNNNGUCAACUUCAGAUCCCGGUUCGAGUCCCGUUCGGAGCUACGAUGCGGCCAUUGUAUUUGGCCACCACCCAUGCACAUACACAUACAUGCAUACAUACGUAAGCACACGUACAUGGAUACAUACAAACAUACGUAAACACACUCUUUCCCGCGCCCCCAGGUGUCCACCAACAGCAACACCGGGGAAAUCAUUGUGAGCGGUAUGGGGGAGCUGCAUUUGGAGGUGUACAUCGAGAGAAUCAAGCGGGAAUACCGGGUAAGGGGGACGACGGGGGUUGAGGGGGGAUGGAGGGGGGUGGAGGGGGGGUAGAGAGGGGGUGGAGGGGGGAUGGAGGAGGGGGAAAUGAGGGGCAAGAAGGGAACCAAGAGGAGGUGGUGUGAUCCCGACAAGGAACUGAACAGGUGGAGGGGUACCGCCGCUAAGCUGCCCUGAUGUGGGCCCCCUCCCCUCACCACACCUCCCGUCACUUCCUACCACAUCCUCCUCCGCACCCCUCCCCCUCAUCCCCCGGUUCCCAGGUCACCUGCGAGGUGGGCAAGCCCAAGGUGAGCUACCGCGAGGCCCUCACCGCCCGGGCCGAGUUCAACUACCUGCACAAGCGACAGAGCGGAGGGGCGGGGCAGUUCGGAAAGGUAGUGGGUAAGUCGACACGGUGCUUCCUUCCCCCUUCCCCCCCUUCCCCCUUCCCCCCCUUCCCCCUUCCCCCCCUUCCCCCUUCCCCUUUCCCCCCCUUCCCCCUUCCCCCCCUUCCCCCUUCCCCCCCUUCCCCCCCUUCCCCCCACAUUCCAUCCUGAGUCCCUCGCAAAUGAUUUCCCCCCCCCUCAGGUUGGAUUGAGCCCCUGCCCGAGGACAGCCCCGUGCCGUUCGUGUUUGAGAACAAGCUGGUGGGCACUGCCGUACCGCCCGAGUUCCACUCGGCCAUUGAGAAGGGCUUCGUGGAGGCAGCCAACAGCGGCUCGCUCAUCGGGGCGCCUGUGUAUGUGAGUUGGGGGUUGGAGGGGGUUGUGUGUGUGUGUGUGUGGAGGGGUGGGGAGGUGAGGUGAGGCGGCAGGUGCAGGGCAGGGCUCCGCUGCCGCGCACUCCCUCGUCCUCCGCUGGCUCGUUGGGCUGUUGAGGGUGCGACGUGCCCCUCCCCGAUCUUUCCCCCACACAUACUUAUGCUCCUCCCCUCCGCUCCUGCUUCUAUCGUCAGUAGUUCGCCUUACCUCCCCACCUCUCCUGCUCAUGUCCCGGCCAGCCACGACACCUCUCAAUGUACAGCUGGUCCGUACUGCAUAACCCAGGUCCUCCAAGCCCCCUCCUCCUCCUUUUUAGCUUUUCCUUAUACCUGUCCGGUCAUUCGCUUCAACAUUCCCCCUCCCCCCCUUCCCCCCGCUCACCCCUCUCAAACCCCUCGUACCCCUCUUCCCCCCCGUCUUUCCCCCCCCUCUCCCCCCUCUCAACCUCCUUCAGGGUGUCCGGGUCGUCCUCACCGACGGCGCCUCCCACGCGGUGGACUCGAGUGAAACGGCCUUCAGGANNNNNNNNNNNNNNNNNNNNNNNNNNNNNNNNNNNNNNNNNNNNNNNNNNNNNNNNNNNNNNNNNNNNNNNNNNNNNNNNNNNNNNNNNNNNNNNNNNNNNNNNNNNNNNNNNNNNNNNNNNNNNNNNNNNNNNNNNNNNNNNNNNNNNNNNNNNNNNNNNNNNNNNNNNNNNNNNNNNNNNNNNNNNNNNNNNNNNNNNNNNNNNNNNNNNNNNNNNNNNNNNNNNNNNNNNNNNNNNNNNNNNNNNNNNNNNNNNNNNNUCUCGCUCUCUUUCUACUCCGUCCUUCCACCCCGCCAAUCCGUGUGUGCUUCCCUACUCCUCCUCUGGUUGCCCCCCUUCUACCCCCUCCCUCCCUCCCUUGCCCCCCCUCAGGCGCCACCAUGGGCGACAUCAACCGACGAAAGGGCCUUAUCCUUGACAGCGGUGCGGUGGGGGACGACACGGUGGUGACGGCCCACGUGCCCCUCAACCUCAUGUUCGGGUACUCGACAGCGCUGAGGUCUGCAACGCAGGUGAGCGUGGGGGGGGAGGCGAGGGGGGGGGCUGGGGGCCCCGGUGGGCCGCUCACCUCAUACACCUCCUAAAACUCCCCAUCGCCUUUCCCUCACCCGCCGGCUUUGGUUUCUUCCCUACAACACAACACAGCACAACAUCUCGUUUCAGGCCGUGUUGUCCAAUUUGGGUUUUGACCGUCUCCCCUGUGCCGUACAGCUCCGCCAUGGUGUUCUUCAAGCAUCCAGGAACAACACCCGUUUUGCUGCCCUGACCUCCUUCCUUUUGCUCUCUUUCCCCUUUCCCUCCCUCCCCCCCUCCCCCCCUCCCCCCCCCACCCAGUUCAUUUCUGAGUUUCUCGCAUAUGACUUUUGCCCUCCCCCUCACCCCAUUGCAUCUUACCUCAUUCCCCCGUCCCCCUUUUUGGUCAGUUCUACUUCUUGUACACUCUUUCCUUGGCAGCAGCUUCACUCGUUCACGUGGUUCGUCUUUCCUCCCUCCCCCCUGCUCCCUCCCCCUGUUCUGCCGGCGUACACGCCGUCCAAUGCGUCAUCCCGUCCCAUGCGUCAUCCCGUCCCAUGCGUCAUCCCGUCCAAUGCGUCACUAGGUCAUCUCGUACGACACCACCUGUGUCGUCCUACGCCGCCUUUGCAAUUCUUUAUUACUUCCUGACUUUUCUUCCAUUUUCAUAUAGUUUCUUUAGGUUUUCUCAUUCCAGCUUCCCCGGUCAGCAAGUUUUAUACGCCUUUUCAGCAGCAUCUGCAUGAGUUCUUGUUUUUUCGUUCGCUGCUCACGAUUUUGCCACCUCUCUGCCUCGCAUGUGCCUUUGCCCGCUACUCCUGCUGCCUGGCCAGGUGAGUCCAAUAAGGUGGUUCGAGCUUCUUUGGUAUUUCGCGUUGGCAUCGGUAGGCUAGCCGGAAUAGUUUAGUUUGGGUCGGUCGGGUCAGUCGCGCGUUCUAGUUUUUUUUGGGGGGGUUGGGAGGAACACUUGCAUACCGGCAGCCCUUCAGUAUCAGCAAUGCAGCUUUCUCUCCUGGUCAGCAACUUUACGCAACUUCUACGUCAAAAAUUUUUUCUCGCCGCCUUCAUUACUUUUUCUACACCUACUAGUUUACGGUUUGGCUAUAAUAUUUCUGGCGGCUUAGGUAGGUAGGACUUCCUACUUCUACGUCAAAUCUUCAUCCCGAGGUUACAGUCGUCAUCCCGAGGUUACAGUCGUCACAGUCGCCACGGACGCCUUUCGGUCAGUUCUUUCGGUUGCUACUUUCUUGCCCUGGCAGCAGCUUAAAUCGCGUGUGGUUCGUCUUUCCUCCCCCUCUGCUCCCCACUUCCCUCCCUCCCCCACCCCCCCACAUACAGGGCAAGGGGGAGUUCAGCAUGGAGUACUCGCACCACGCUGCCGUACCUCGAGAGGCUCAAGCGACAUUGGUGGGGGAGAUCAAGAGGGCUGCAGCGGCGUGAGGGGCUGGGGGGGAGAGGGGGCGGGAGAGGUGUGGGUGAGAGAUAUGGAGUGUUUGCGUGUAUGUAUGUAUGUAUGUAUUAAGGAUAUUUUCAUGAAGGUGAGAUAUCGGACCGUGGACAAAAGAGGGCGCCAGGAUGUGCCCGACAAGCUGCCACAAAAAGAGGGGUAGGCGAGCUUGUAUAGGAGAAAGGAAGGGGAGGGCCAGCAGGAUGCCUGUGAGCGUGUGUGUAUGUCUGUGUAUGUCUGUGUGUAUGUCUGUGUGAGGGCUGCGGGGUUAGGUAGGGGAGGGAGAGAGGAGGACGUGCUUAUCGAUGAACACGUGAAGCGAGCGUGUUUGAUCUCCAUCAGUCAGAUAGUAGACAGUUUUAACUGAAACAACUGAAAUAACUGAAACAAUGCUUAACUGUGCUUAACUGGCCUGGCCUGUUCCUCGUGUAUAAGAAAAGCCCAGCUGAUGAACCGGUGGGUGCAGGUAUUUGGUGGGGUGGACGGUGGCGUCGCCAAAAGCGUUGGGAGGGGCUGUUUUGCUGGUCAUAUGUCUUGUUGCCUGUACGACAGGUAUAUGGGACGUCUGGAGCUGAAUUUGUAUCCAGACGCUUUCUAAGACCUUGCACAUGGCGACAUGUUUGCGACAUUUGCGACGUACAAAUUGUACGGAAUGUUUAUAUCGUACGGCAGCGAUGACGUGUCUCUGUCAUGUGGCCUCCGUGGGUUCUGACUAGCUGGAUGGUGGAUGUGGAUGUGAGGAAGGAUUGGUCGUUCAGCGUAGCGGGAUGUGACACUUGUCGGGUUUUGAAGCCCGGGCGGAUUCUCUAGAAGGCUUAUUGUCCUUAGUUUGUGCGCUUCGCGGAGCUACUUGCUAGGACGUGUUCGUGAGCUUUUCCGCACCUCGCCCCUCUUCUCUUCGUUUUUACUUCGUGAAGAAACGGGCAAACGCGGGUCGGGAUGGCGCGGCCAACCUGACGGGGUGGCUGCGGUGCGCUGUACUGCAACCCAUAUUGAACCCCUGCGGGCGAUACACAGCGGCAGUACAGUACGGGAGCUGGCGAUGAUGCCCGCCGGGCCCUUCUUAAGUUGGGAGUACCGUUUGCGGGAGGUACACAUCGGCAGGGGGGGAAAGGAAAGGGAGGGGGGUACCCCCCGGGGACUAAACACACGCGCGUGUGUCCGCAGGGACGCGGGACGGCGCUCGGAUGUUGUGGGUCAAGUGAGCCGGCCAGCCACGUUUGGGGGGAAUCUGCGGACUGAGGACCGCGGCGUCGUGAAGUAACCGCAACGGCAUAGCGCGUGUUGCAGCGAAACGGAAUGUGAAGCCGGCCGAGGACUGGAUUCCUGAUUGAACGCAGGACAUCUACGCGAUCUGAAGGUGGGCAGGGCUUUAAAGGUUGCCUGAAAGUGGGUUACCCGCUCUUGACGAUAAGAAUAGGAGCCGCUAGCGAGUUGUCCAUGCGAGACUACGGUGCUGGUGGAUUCACACAUUUCAAGAGGUUAGGCAUCAGGCACCGAUCUACAGACCUUUUAAGACGACUGGUAAAGCCAGCGUCCGAAUUAGCAGCCAGGCGAGAAGCGUUAAUGGAGCAGCAGCUGAUGGAUACUGUUAACAGGUACUUAUCGUCGAGGUGGUUGAAAAAGGUUGAACACAGGCACAAUGGUUACACGGGUGUUCCUACACAAGGAGGUAGAAAGAAGAAGGCUUCUGCACCAGCAGAUGCAAAAAUUACGGCUGUGCGCAUCAAGUGGAGGUCCAGCGGUGCGGCAAAUUGCCUAUGCGCCGUUGGAGUUGCGCGUCAGUUAGUUGUCAGUUUUGGAAGCUUGGUGAAAUGAUCGUGAGAAAGGGUUCAAACGCAAUAGAGACAAGGAACGAUAAACCAUUUUCGAGAAUCUUUGCGUGGUUGAUCAGCUGUAGGGUGCAACCGUCGCUUACGGUACGUGUCACAGCACCGAUAGUUCCGGAUGAUGAACGCGAAUUUCUUGCAGAAGCUCCUGCUCCGAGCGCUGUGCCUAAAGAAAUAUCGUAACUGAUACGGACUAGGAGCUGUAAGCUUGCGUAUUCCCGGUCCAUGCACUUGUUCGGGCGAAUAACUGGGCAACCACAAAAAAUUGUAGCACGCGCUGAGCGUGCAAGCUUAGGUAGUUUACCUAGUUUUCCAUCGCGACAGUUUCUCCCAUGCUAUCAAUCGCCUAAAGCGCCUAAAUGGAAAGCCUCGGCGCGAUGGACGAGCCGGCAGGUCGUCUUCGCGAACACAGGCCGGAGCUCCUCAGACAGCACUCUUAAAUCCUUGGAGAGUAUUCUUGGUAGUAAGGAUGACCAAGUUGAGGACGGUGGGUUGGGGUCUCUGCCCAACCACGUAAUGCCGCAAGUUAACUCGAAGCGGAUGAUUUGGGCAUCCCUUGCAAAGAAAAUUGAUGGUGCGAGAGCCGAACACUAUAUGUUAUGUAUCCCGUCCGUAAGAUAUGGACCGCGGGUCAUUUCUCUAGUCCCAUUUCGUAGCUUGAAAGCGCAGCGCGAUAUCUAUCCCUUUCCUUGUACGGCCCGUUCGCUAAUUAUCAUCAGAUGCGGACUCUAGCGAGGCUCCUGACAAAUACGCCGCGGAAGUUGACCGGCGGCGUUGGCGGAAGGUACCGGAGGCCGCUGCCCGAAGGGUAAGCCCUGGCCGCUGUGGCCUUGAUUUGGGUCAACCGCACGCGCGACUGGGAUUUCGCCAUUGGACGCCCGGGGCGAUGUUUUCCCCCUUGAUGUUGUAUCGUGGGAAGAAGGAUAGUGCGCGGUGCCGAGAGCUUGGUUAUACACAAACGUCCUGGUGCAGAGCUGAUGGCCGCUGGCCGCCUCUCCUAUUGUAUGCCCGACCUGUUAACCCUGCAUCACAUUCCUCGCCCCAACCCCAGCCCCGUCCUGUCCUGUCCUGUCCCACCCCCCCUCACCCGCCCGCCGCGGCCGUUCUUACAGGUCCGACCCUUGUACGUGUACGUCAUCUACUAUUGCUUCAUCGUCGUGUACCUGGCAACCGCCUGGCUGCAGGCCACAGAUGUAAGGCCCAAGUGGGCUCCCGCGUGCCUCGCCGUACAUCUCCGUACAAACAGGCCAUGUACCGCUCCGUACACUGCCAUGUACCGCUACCAUUUUUCUGUACUCUUUCAGAAGCCAAUAGAAAAUGCUCCUGGCAUCGUACGAGACACAAGCACUUACCUACACCCGUACCACCCCCCAAACCUUCCACCCGCCACACACACACACACACACACACACACACACACACACACACCAGCCCUACCAUCCGCCCCACUCCCCCUUCUACUCGAAACAAGUUCGCACGCGGAAGACAUUCGGCUCAACUUGCCUUCUACCUACCCCCCCCCCCCCACCUCCCCUCCCCUGCCCUGCGCUUCAGGGCGACCUGGCCGCCUCUCUUCUGGUAGAUGGUCUGGUCAACGACCACCUGGCUGUAGCCAGCGGCCAGGUACCCCGCCUCGCUACAGCCGGCUUCGUGUGCGACGGCCCCCUGGAGCUCUUCCUGCAGCUGGCCACGCUGCUGACCGUGGGCACGGAGGCGGAGGCUCUGCUGGGCUACAGCCUCUUCUGGGCGGUGUACUGGCUGGCCAAUCUGGGGGCCAGCCUGGCCGAUGCGGCCUUCAGCGAAAUCCCCGUCACCUUCGGCCCAGCUAACGCGGCGGCGGGCAUGGUGGGCGCGCUGGCGGCGUACUACGUACGGAAUCUAGGCCUGGAGGAGCGGAUCGCCGCGGCCCGUCAGGCGGUGCGGCGGCGGAGGAGGAUGGUUCUGGACGGAGUGGGGAAGCGCGGCAGUGAUGGGGAGGGGGCGGUAGGUGCUUUGGGUGCGUNUGGAUGGGGGUGGANNNNNNNNNNNNNNNNNNNNNNNNNNNNNNNNNNNNNNNNNNNNNNNNNNNNNNNNNNNNNNNNNNNNNNNNNNNNNNNGGGUGGGGGGAGGGGAGGGGACGUUUCAUUUCGCGGGCAGGGUCCCGCUACAAAGUCUACUAGACCUACCAGGGAGCACCGCAGUGAUGGCUUUCCCACAGCAAAUAGUUUUUAAAUCGUUCCUAGCUUUUCAUCUUUUGGGGGCGUACGACUGUUGUAUGGCUUUAAAUUUGCCUUUUAUGUAUGCCCCUUUUCUCAUGCCUGGCGCUGUUGCUGCUGCUGCUGCUGCUGUUGCUGUCGUCCCCACCUGCCCCUAGUCCCCCCGCGAGGAGGAGGAGGCGGAGGUGGAGGUGGAGCUGCUGCCGCUGCUGUCCUUCACCUUCACGGGCCGCAUGGGUCCGGAGGCCCGGGGGCUGCUCAACGUGCUGGUGGCGCUGGUGAUGGCGGGGCAGGUGGGCGCACCGCACCACACCACACCGGCGGGGUGUCAGGGGCGGGGGGCAAUGAGGGACGGGGAAGGGGGGGGGUCUGCGGGUGCGAGGGGGGGAAGGACGGGACGGGAAGGAGGGGCGCUCCACUCGUGCGAGGAGCGGCCGACGAGGUUCAGUUCCGUGUGGUUAGUGGUGGUGGCGGUGGUGGUGGUGGUGGCGGUGGUGGUGGCGGUGGCGGUGGUGGCGGUGGUGGUGGCGGUGGUGGUGGUGGCGGUGGUGGUGGUGGUUAGUGGUGGUGGUGGUGGUGGUGGAGGUGGUGGUGGCGGUGGUGGUGGUGGAGGUGGUGGUGGCGGUGGUGGUGGUGGCGGUGGUGGUGGUGGUUAGUGGUGGUGGUGGUGGUGGAGGUGGUGGUGGCGGUGGUGGUGGUGGUUAGUGGUGGUGGUGGUGGUGGUGGUGGCGGUGGUGGUGGUGGUUAGUGGUGGUGGUGGUGGUGGUGGAGGUGGUGGUGGCGGUGGUGGUGGUGGUUAGUGGUGGUGGUGGUGGUGGUGGUGUAUGUUGCCGGGGGUCACGCAGCUGCCCGUCCUGCCUUGGUCCCCGAGCCGGUGUGCGUCACAAGGGGGCUGCACAGGCGGCAGCGNNNNNNNNNNNNNNNNNNNNNNNNNNNNNNNNNNNNNNNNNNNNNNNNNNNNNNNNNNNNNNNNNNNNNNNNNNNNNNNNNNNNNNNNNNNNNNNNNNNNNNNNNNNNNNNNNNNNNNNNNNNNNNNNNNNNNNNNNNNNNNNNNNNNNNNNNNNNNNNNNNNNNNNNNNNNNNNNNNNNNNNNNNNNNNNNNNNNNNNNNNNNNNNNNNNNNNNNNNNNNNNNNNNNNNNNNNNNNNNNNNNNNNNNNNNNNNNNNNNNNNNNNNNNNNNNNNNNNNNNNNNNNNNNNNNNNNNNNNNNNNNNNNNNNNNNNNNNNNNNNNNNNNNNNNNNNNNNNNCACUGCCGUGUGCGUGUGUGUGUUUCCCCGUGUGUGUGUACACCCGGGCGUCCCCCUCCCACCGACACACACAUACACACACACACGCCCACGCGUGUGUAACAGGGUCUCCUGGAUUUCGGAGGCGCCAGCAGCAACGCGUCCUGGAUUGGUCUCAUCGCGGCCUUCUGGACGGGUGGGUGAGGGAAGGGGGGGGGCGGGUGGGGGAGGGGGAGGGGCCCCGGGUUGUGCACACACGCCGCCGGAAGGUGAGUGUGGGGGUUAGCGGAGGUGGGGGAGGCGGGGAGUGUGUUUAGAGACACGCAACCGGGUUUGCGGGCGGGUAGGGUCCCCCUGGAGGGGAUGUCAAACCCCAAGGGGAGUCCCCUUCGGCCCUCCUUUACAGGGUGUAUACGUUUUUACUACCUCUGUUAUGUCUGAUGAUGCUGAACUUGUAUGUAUGUAUGUAAGUGUAUGUAUGUGAGUGUGUAUAUAUGUGAGUGUAUGUAUGUAUGUCCCUUGAUCCCGCGUCAGGGGGCCUGCUAACGUACGGCGCGGGGCCCCAGUACGAGGUGAAGUACACGCCUCCCGACUCGUGGCAAGACCACAGUAGCGGCAGUAGCGGCAGUAGCGGCAGUAGCAGCAGUAGCAGCAGUAGCAGCAGCUCCGCUCGCCCCGCCGGGGAGGGUCCGGUCGCGGAGGGGGGGGAGUCGGGAAGUGCAGCCCCGACAGCGGAUGAUGACGGUCUCACGGUAUGUACGGCAGGGGUUUGUCGAAUGAAUAACCUCAACACGUCCGUGUCUGUCUGUAUGUCUGUCUGUGUGUGUGUGUACAUGUGAGGCGUCAUUUCAGGGAGUCAGGGGAGGUGGGUGCUGCUGCUGCGCGCAGGAGGGGUUGGGCUGUACGGCGAGAGGCUCUCUCUCGUUGUGAUGUGCAUUUGUGAGCAUAUCUUGAUCGGCUCGCGACCCGGGGGCCUCUGCCCCGCACAUCCCUAGGGCCGCGCCUGGUGCGCCCGAGCCCAAGAAGGGGCCGACGAGAGGCCACGAACAGGCGCGGACAGAUAGCUGCCAGAAACCGCCUCUUCACUGAAACGAUUGGCCGCCUAUUUAUUAUAGCUCCCGCCAACCCCCCUCCAAUAACCCCUCCUUCCCAUCGAACCCCCUUUGGAAGUACGCAGGAACCUGAGGCUACUGAGACGUUUUUUGUAUCCCAGACCCCCCCCCAUUACGUCGUUUCCUUUCGGUUAUCUUCUUGUUCUGGAUACGCGAGGGGACCUCCGCGGGUGUCCUUUGGUUUGAUUGAUAGCUCCCGCCAUCCAGACCUGCUCUACCCCCCCCUCUCUUGCCUUGGCAGCAGCUUCACUCGUUCGUGGUUCGUCGUUCCCCCCCUCCCCCAAUCGUUCAACCGGCCAUGCAUGCAGGUUGUGGACGUUUGCCCCCCCGCCCGGCGGCAGGCCGUACUUGGGUCGUACGUCGUGGGACUGGCAGCCCUCAUCCUGGGAUGGCUCACCUGGAUGGGGACGGACAUCUGAGCAGGAGGGGGAGGAGGAGGAGGAGGAGGGGGAGGAGGGGGAGGGGGAGGGGGAGGGGGAGGAGGGGGAUCACCAAUGGGCGUGACGAUCAGCAGGGUGUGGAGGCCAGCUGGGAUAUGGCGGAUGUGGCGUAUGGCUAUGUAUGUGUGCGUGUGCCGCCUGUGCUGGAGCCGGGUGAUGUAUUAGGUGCAGGGAGGAGGGAAGGAGGGAGGGGGGGGAGGGGGGGGAGGAGCGAGGAAACCGAAAACAUGGAACUCAAUCCGUCCUGGGGGAGCUGUGGGGGGCCCCGCACUAGCCGUUUGCAAGCAAGUGAGCGCGUCUCGUCAACUCAUCUGUUACCACCCGUGGUAUAUAUGAAAUAUAUUUAUAUACAUACACGUAGGGAGGAGCCAGGGGUACGCCCCUGCUGCGGUACUGGAAGAGCCGUAUUGGAGAUGAGAAGCACGUCUUGCUGGACUGUCCGGUGUGUACGGCGAGAAAUCAGAUCUGAUAUGGAUUUCCUACGCUUUGAGCAUAUGAAGGACGCUGUGAAGUGGGAACCUUGGGCGUCCCGACGUUUAAAUGAUCCACAUGUGUGGGUCUGUGUGGUCGUGUGUGCAUCUGUAUGUGUAUAUGUAAGUUCGCGGUGACGGGUUUUGCCCAUGCGGACGGACGAAUUGUCCCCCCGCUGCGAGGCGAUGUGGUGCGGUGGCAGCGAUCCCCCUGCUGAAGCUUCACGCAAGGAGCGUUUGCGCGAUGAUUAUUGAUAUGUUCGCUGAAGUUUACAGAGCAUUUCGUGUUUCGCUGGUCAUGAGCAGCAGAGCAGGCAUCUUUUGCUAGGAUGUAUGUGCUGCAUGGAGCUGCACAGCAAACUGAUUAAACCAGGGGGUACUGCUGGUUGGGCAUAUUACUGCGUGUGCGACGGCGUGUGUGGAUGGAAAUGCGAUAGGGGCAGAUGAGCGCGUAAUAUACUGGCUGGUUGGCAAAUACAUGUGUUUUACUUCCCAGGGGUCCAUAUCGAGGGUGUUACGUUACGUAGAGAGUUGGGAUUGGGUGAACUUGGGCGACGAUCCUAUGUAACUUGUAACAUAACAAACGUAAGACCUAUCAGCGCCUUUAGAUUUGUAAUUAAUGGUUCGCUUGCAGUUGUGUUAAAUAGUCUGGUAUGCUUGUAGUGAGGGUAUUAGAUGUUCAACGGGAUGCCUGUGGUGAUUACCUCCGUAAUGGCGAAAGACAGAGCGCAGUCUGAAGAUGUCAGCAAUAAAAUUACGCAAUAAAGGGGAAUGCUCAUGAUGUAAUAACAUAAACGUCCGGUUUGAGUACAGCAGCAUGCAAUAUUUGAAUUUGACAGUUAGUUCCAACGGUAAAGCACACGACGUCAGCUGCUCUCCAGGCCGUCCUGAUCGUAUGCUGACUUUUUACAUACUCAUCCUAUAUAUAGUGCAACAGUUAUGGUGAUGAUGUCGUGCUCAACGCAGCGACGCGGGCUUCGCAAAAGAGUAUGCGAUGUUGUCGCCAACCUAGACGACGACACGGACGGAUACCGCAAAAAGACGAUCAGAUCUCCUGCGAGGUUGACUGAGAAUGCCGUCCAUAUGCCGAACUUGACAAGAGAGCAGAGAGGUGCCCGCAAGCGGCCCCAUCGCAGGAUAGGAUUUCUCGCUAUGCCCUAUGCACACCACGGAUACGUCCCCUCGGUGAUUUGCGCGAUGUAAUCUCGUGUGCAUUUCCUUCACAUGCGUGCAUGCAUACAGCGCCAUACACCCAUGUCAACACCCAAGGCACGUAAGAGUUGCAGUCCUGUACACUUUUUUAACAGCCCGGCAUAUUAGCCCCCACAUCGCUGAACUGACCACCCCAUGCACCCCCUUCCUUCCGCUCCCAUUUCAUCCCCCCAGUCCCCCUAAAAGCUCUUUCCCCUACCCCUUUCCCUCUCUCCCAUACACCGUUGUUCAUCUUUUCUUUGAAAUGACUAUACUACAACAACACUAUAUGGUCAACAAUACCCCAACGCUGUAGUUCUCACCUAUAGCUAACACACGGCAUUCCGUUGCCUUCAACAACAACAGCAACAGCAACACCCUGCAUCAGUCCACUCCAGGAGGAACAACCGUAAGCGCCAUUACUACUGGUUCCAUUCGACCAUUUUCGACAACAUCAUUCAAGAAGGACCUAUAACCACUUGCGAACACACCUCGCAGACUGAAUUUUGCCAAAUGGGAAAUCUUCCCAAAUGGAAAAAUCUUCCCAAACGGAAAAAUCUCCUCUCGCGGGGAGGUGCAUCUCCGCUCAGUCCUCUUUAUGAGUCCCCCGAGAGACGACGAUCAACCAAGUACGUACUACAGCCAUAGCUUGCCGCAGGUGGCCCAUAGAGAGGACCUUUUCCCCCAAACUUGUUAUAUGUGUGUGUAAGUGUGUUAUAGCUGUCAUAGGGUUUUCUCUCUGUCUCCUUCACAGCGGCCAGAGCUGCUACCCUACUUUUAAUGCCAACGACGGCGCCAUCACUCGCUCUCGUCCUCGGCGUUGUGUGGGUACCGUGGUGUGGUGCGGUGGCCCCGCGGGCGCUUCGAAGGUGAGGGAGGUCGCGGCGGCGCCGCUGCGGUACGGCCGUUUGACUGGUCGCCGCUGCCCUGUCGCUGCGUGCCGCUGGUAGUGCCCUUCCGCACGUUGCCAUUACCUCCAACAACACCGCCAACGUAAUCACCGACGCCGCCAGACGAUGUGGCGGGUUUGCCCUCCGCACCGCCGCCAGUGCUGCAGCUCCCGCCAGUAACGGAGCGCAGUACGGCACCCAGAGCACCCAGCGGUCCCCCGGAGGUGGCGGGGGAGGUGGCGGGGUACGACUCAUUGACAGGCGCGCUGCUGCCCGCGGAUGGUGGAUAUGCAGCGGCGGCGGCGGCGGCGGCGGGGGUGGUGGUGCUUCCGACUGCACCAGCUCCCCUUUCUCCUCCUCCUUCCACACCAGGCUCCGUCACUGGUUGCGCCACCUGUCUCUCACCUGCCGCCCCCUCCUCCUCCCCCUCUCUGGUUGGCGGCGGUGCUGCCACUGCUGGCCCCAGGGCUGGCUCAGUGUCCCCAAGCUCCACAUCCACACUGUAACGCAUGUCCCCGAACGCGGGCAUGUUGUCGUGAGAGCCCGCCAUUCCGUUUGGCGGUGGCAGCGGCGGCGGUGAAGGCCAGGGCAAAUCCGCCUGGACCGGUUCCGUCGACAGCACGUGCAGCUGCUGCUGCUGCUGCUGCUGCUGCUGGCCAGUCCUGUCCGCCGCCGGCUCCCCUGGCGGGCUGAUGGCGGCGCCGCCGCCGUACAGCCCCUGGCUGCCGGCGGCGGCGCUGAGGAGGUCCAUGCUGUCGUGCGGCCCCACGGGCUCCACACCCACCACCGGCGUCAUCACGUCCACCUCCUCCCGCAGGUCCGCAGCCGCGGCCCGGGACUGUCCCACCUCUCCUUGAGAUACCUCAGUAUCAGCGGUUGCUGCUGCUGCCCCUGCCUUGGCCAGGGUGUCCUCCGGGAAAGCAGCUGUGGAGGCUGAGGCUGAGGAGGCGGCGGGGGAGGGGGAGGGGGAUGAGGAGGACAGGAGGGUUUCGGAGCCGGGUGUUGUGACGCCCUCUGGUGGAGGUCCCUCGGUGUCCGACUCGGUCGCUGACAUGGAGGAUGAGAAGGAGGAGACGGCGGCGCGGCCCAGGGAGGGCGGGGGGUGGAAGCUGGGCUGGCCGCUGUCGGCCCGGAGCCGGUUCCACGCCAUUCCCCAGGGGUCCACACGCCGGGGCGCCUGCAGGGGCGCGGAGAGAGCACUCGGACCCGGACAACAGGUCACAACGACAAAAUGAAGUUGGAGGGGGGGCGGGGUGGGGAGUGCGGGGAAAAGGUCUUUGCGAAUUGCUGUACCUAAGAUUGUGUGUUUGCGUGUGUGUGUCUCUGUCUGUAUGUGUAUGUGUAUGUGUACGUGUGUCCCCGUGUGUGUGUGUGUAUGUGUAUGAGGGCAUCUUGGCGUGUCAGUUGCGGCACCACCUAACUCGCGGAAGGAAACAAAUAUCGACAUGGCGGCCCUUCAUGUGCCGUACAUGUAGCUGUAGUUUCUGGAAAGGCCCAGAGGCCCCUAGCGGCUCGGAUGUAGACCUCCCUGGGCCCAUGUCUUGGGCGUGAGGUGAUAGCCGGGGACCCCCCGGUGCUGCUAGGCCUAAUAUUUCGAACAUCCGACCCAUCAUCCACAACCACCUGUACGACCAACGGAAUGGGUAGCAGCACGUGGUGAUUGUUGCACAUGCCCACAGUAACCCCCGUGAAGCCUGUGGGGAGGAAGUGGGGGGAGGGGGGUGGGAGAGUGGGGAUCCAGAUUCCUCAGUCAAUGUGCGUGUGUGUGUUUGUUGGGGGGGAAAAUAGCUCCCCCCCCCACCCCCGGUCAGGAACCCCCGGUAUGACUCUUAUUCGCCAUUCACCCCUUCCCAUGCAUACAUGCAUACAUACAUGCACAGACACGCCAGCACACACUUGGGGGAUAUUCGGCUGGUUGGGUGGAACCACCGCCCACCCGCCCACCCGCCCGCCCGCCCACCCAGCCACCCGCCCGCCCACCCGCCCACCCGCCCANNNNNNNNNNNNNNNNNNNNNNNNNNNNNNNNNNNNNNNNNNNNNNNNNNNNNNNNNNNNNNNNNNNNNNNNNNNNNNNNNNNNNGCUUAUAAAACAGGCAGUGUCCUCACCCACCUCAGCCGCGUAUUUGAAGUGCAUCUUGAAGCGGGCCUUGAGGUAGAUUCCGAUGUCGUGCAGUACGGGGUUGCCUGAGGGUUUGGGAGGAGGGGGGUUUGAGGGGGAAGACGAACCACGUGAACGAGUGUGAAGGUGAUGCCAAGGAGGAAAGACUGAUGCUCCACAGAAGUAGGAGGAAGGGGGGAAGGGCGGCGCGGCGCGGCACAGAUGAGCAGAAACAGCACAGCAAUGGCAAUGGCAAUGGCAGCAUCAGCUUCGACGUUCUGACUGUAGCUAGCGACCAACUACCCCCCCGGGGGGGCCCCCGAGCAGUGGUGGCACAUGUUCUGCACCCAAUAGCAAGUGAAACUCAAAAACACGAAAACGAAAACCGUCCAGGCGACUUCUCCACCCCGACCAAAACCCCCCGGGGCUCCCCAAGCCACUAGCCCACGUGAUGCGCAGCUGUACAGCAGCGUCCGUACAGGUCCGCACCGGUUUACAUCCGUACCCAACCGCCGUACACACACUCACCCAGGAGAUCCUUCGUCUGCGGCGUGUGGGCGCUGAUGAGGUCCUGUCCCGCACCUUCCGCCACACACACCACCGCAUGGCCCUGAGGGGGAGCGGGGGGGGGAAAGUAGUCGUAAUAGUACGGCGGGGGGGGGAUUAUGAACUCACGAACGCAGGAAAGGAGCACUGCCACCGUCGGAAGGAACCCAUGGGGGGGAAGAGACCCGCCUUUCCAGGGGUGAGGGGUGAGGAGGAGAUCCCCGGUAUGAAAUCCGCGAAUGCAAAGGACGUUAUCCUGGCAUACGGUGGGGCGGGGAGGUGGAUUGUGUGGUGAGGGACUGUGUGGUGGGGCGGGGUGGUGGGGGACUGUGUGGUGGGGCGGGGUGGUGGGGGACUGUGUGCGGGCCGGAUCCGCACCUUGCGCUGCAGUACCAUCCCAAGGUAGGCGAGCAGCCCGUGGGGGCCGUCCAUGGUGAAGGAGACCUGCGACGUCGGGAGACGAGGGGGGCCCCCUCAGGGGGGAGGGGGGAGGGGGGAAAGGAGGAGCAACGCGGUGAGGUUGGGGGGUAGGGACGAACCACGUGAACGAGUGAAGCUGCUGCCUAGGAAAGAGUGUACAAGAAGCAGAACUGACCAAAAGGCGUUCUUGGGGGGUAACGGGGGUGGGACACACCGUCCAUACCCACCUUCGCUAUCCAGCACUUCCACCACCACCUAGGAAAAGAGCGACGGAGAAGAUAUUGAAUAUAUUCCCACAUGCAUGCAUGCAUGCUGAGCAGUACUGCACAUCGUCAGGUCCAGGUAUAAACACUUGUGAGAAGAGGAUGAUACCCCUCCAUCCCCCCCCUCUCGCAUGUAUUUUCCCCCCAUACACACACAUACAUACACCACCACCAUCACCGCCACCUUACCUCUGGGAUAAGACAAACGUCCACCACUCCACUUGCCAGGGAGGCCUGCGGGGCAGUGGGGGGUCAGACGGAGGUGUGGGGUUGGGGGGGGUAAAUCUAGUUAGGAUAUGUAGAGGAGGUCCCCACCAACAACAAACAAAGAGCCGCUGCUGCUGCUGCUGCUGCUGCUGCUGUAACUGUUGUCACCACCACCACCAUCACCUAAACCACGGGCACCUAUCACCACUUGAGGAUCCAAUUCCCAAUUCAAAUCCGAAUCCUAACAAAGCCGGAGGAUACGGGAGUGCAAACCCUGAGUGUGGCUGUGUGGCCAUAUGGCCCAGCGGCGGGGGCGGCGGCCACCCCCUCUCCUUGCCCCACCCUCCCACCUGCAUGGCCAGGAAACCCGAGUGCCGGCCCAUCACCUUGACCAGCCCGAUCCCGCCCCGGAUGCUGCUGGCCUCCACCUGCGGCGGCGGCGGCCGGGGAGGGGGGAAGACGAACCACACGCGAUUGAGGGGAGGGGGGGAGGGGGUUAAGGCAAAGAGCCGCAAUGGCGGCAAAUCAUAUGCUGGAAGGAAACAAGGAAUGAACUCCGGGCGCCCCAUGUUCGUGGGGGUUGUGUUGGGUGGGGAGGGAGCAAGCAGGGGCAAGGGAGCGGAAUGGGGGGAGGUUACACCGCUACGACCGCGACACCUACGAGGACACCAGCAGCAGCAGUGGCAGUAGAAGUGACAGUAGCAGGAGCAGUGGCAGGAGCAGUGGCAGUAGCAGCAGCAGUGGCAGUAGCAGUGGCAGUAGCAAUGGCAGUAGCAGCAGCAGUGGCAGUAGCAGCAGUACUCGGUAAACGAUCCCAAUCACGUAAGGGGCCCCAUGGACAGAGUAAAGGUACCACACCUACAGACCGACAUACGGACACAUACACAUACAUACAAGCAGACAGUUAAACGCACGUCACCACCUUUGCCGCCAGCAGCGGUCGCUGCACCUCCUGCACCGCGGUCUCGAAUCCGAACGUCCGGUCCACCAGCAGGAUGUCGUUCUCAAUGGACUUGGGCACUCCCACCACACAGCAGGGCAGCUCGCGGGCCCGACAUUGCUCCGAAAUCAGCUGAGGGCGCUCGUGCAGCGGCAGCAGCAGCAGGAGGGGCAGCAGCAGCAGUGGAGGGAAUAGGGGCAGGCAGGGACUGUGAGAGAGAGGCACUAAGGCACAGGGCCCCCAGGCCAAUGCCCUAAGGCCGUGGCUCGGCCAAUGCCCUAAGGCCGUGGCUCGGCCAAUGCCCUAAGGCCGUGGCUCGGCCAAUGCCCUAAGGCCGUGGCUCGGCCAAUGCCCUAAGGCCGUGGCUCGGCCAAUGCCCUAAGGCCGUGGCUCGGCUAAUGCCCUAAGGCCGUGGCUCGGCCAAUGCCCUAAGGCCGUGGCUCGGCCAAUGCCCUAAGGCCGUGGCUCGGCCAAUGCCCUAAGGCCGUGGCUCGGCUAAUGCCCUAAGGCCGUGGCUCGGCUAAUGCCCUAAGGCCGUGGCUCGGCUAAUGCCCUAAGGCCGUGGCUCGGCUAAUGCCCUAAGGCCGUGGCUCGGCCAAUGCCCUAAGGCCGUGGCUCGGCCAAUGCCCUAAGUGUUAGCGGACCACUCAGGCGCGGUUGAGCCACGCCCCUAGGCCGCCGGCGCUGUGGCCCCCCGGGCCCCCGGCAGCAGCAGUGCGGACCGGGGUGUAGAUCUACCAGACGUAGAACUGGCCAAAAGGCGUUCUUGAAGGCGGCGACCCUCCGGGGGGGGGGGGGUUUGGAAAGGGGGGUAAAAGGUGCCUCUGCCACUCUCAUGCGGGAGAGCCACGCCCUUCAUACGUACCCAUAGCCCCCACCGCUAUCAGCACGACCCAGCCGCAGCCGCAGCACACCGUACACCCUACACCGCGCACCUGCGCCGCCCGGAGGCCCCCGUCUCCCCCCACGACGAACAAGGCGUUGAUGUCCCACAUCGCAAUCUUGGCCACCACCGCGUCAAUGUCCGCCCAGCCCCUGGAGCAGCCGUACAAUCCCGUACACAUGCCGUGGCGGGUUGUUAGCAAUCACAACGGUAUCCAUCUGUUGUUUCUUAAGCACUUCCUGCUGGAGGGUAAUCUGUAGGCCAUGGACUUCAAUGAGCUGCUUAUUCACCCGGGACAUACAUACAUACAUACAUAACCAGGAACUAAGUUGAUGCGCCGUUGAUCCGCUAGAUUUGGUUGGAUGCUGGUGGUGAGUUGCCGAACCCAACGAAUACAUUCUGAAGUCGGAUGGUGUGACGGAUUAGGGUGCCCCUCUAGCAGGGGAGAGCAGGGACUGCCCCGGGAAAGGGGGCCGCUGGCGAAGUUAACCACCCUGUAACAACAUACAUACAUAACGGCAACGAGUUACCACAU
rnacentral:lncRNA from 1 species